rnacentral:lncRNA from 1 species
CACCCCUCUUUCGGGUGACAUUACUGGUCCGAAUAGAGACGGUACGUGAGGCGUGUGAUUAGUGAUUGUAGAGUAUUUCGGCCCGAUGAUUUACGGUUAAUUCCUGAUCUGUUUCCCCCGAAUAAAGUAACUUAGAUAAUUAUGGUUCAGUUGGUUCUAUUUUAUUUGGAUACAUGUGGUUUUGUGAAAUUAAUAAAGUGCGCGCUCAUGAUUUUUUUGUGAGAUUAUGAAAAUGGUUUUCUACCCCUCGUGGUAACUUGUUUUUAAAGGAAAAGAUUUCUGUGUGGAAAACGGUUUUAAAAAGAGUUUUUCGAUUUUCAUGAUUCUUGGUAUUUCAAAAUAAGUUUUCGAGUGAAAAACAUUUUAAACUAAUAGAUGUGGAUUUAUGAUGAAAAUAUGAUAAACUGGUGAUUGAAUGAAUGAAAAAUGGUAUAUGCGAUGUAGUGAUUGUAUGUGUAUGGUUAUACAUUGUGGUUGUAUCUUGUAUUUGUACGACGCCGUGCAAAUACAGGGGAGACUCUGUCAUGUGAACAGUGGGUUCCUGUAUUUGUGGCGGAUCUGACAUCCCCUGGGGUCAAGGUUUUUUUUUUUAAAAAAAUUGAUCACUUCCGCAUCGAUUUUAAAACUUCAAAGGGACCCUGAGGCGUGACAGUUGACCCUUUCAGGAAGCCAUAGGGAAUGGUCCAUAAAUAUCAGCAUGAAUUAUUUCUAAGACGUCAGAACUUCUAUUGGCAUCUAAUUUUCUAAUAUUUGUCUAUUUUUCCUGAAUGCACUUAACACGGAUUUGAAAGUUUGUAAAAUCAAGAGGAUCAAGAAUCCCAUCAGACACAAGUCUCUCAAUUCUCUAUUUAGAGAUGUGACACAAACACUUGUGCCAUAACGUAGUGGAAUUCUCAUUACUUAAUUUUCAUUUUGUACCGCGAGAACUAGUAUGCAAAAUUUCAUUAUAUGAAGCGAUUGUAUCCAACAAAUAUAGAUUGUCAUUUAUAUAUAAAGAACCAGUACCAAUAAGAUUUGAAUUUUGAAGAACCAGUACCAAUAUAGUUGAUUCACAUUUUCAGCUAAGUUUAUUUCUAAAUGAAAUAAACGAAAAGGGUAGCGUGCUACCUAUCUCUCAAAAAAAAUAAGAUUUGAAUUUUGAAAAAGACUAAAUUUAUUAUUUCCAAAUGAACAAGAGUAACUAGAUUUAUCCAAAACAGAAAUAGAAACCAAAUUCUGUCUAAACAACAGUAACGUAAAUUUCUCUUCCAAAUCUAAAUAAAAACCAAUCUUUAACAACAACCUAAAAGUCCCUAUGGCCUCAACUGCAAUUGAUUUGUUGUCGCAAAGAUGAAUCAUUCACCAUCAUUUGGCUGUCGGUCGUCAAGCAAGCUUGCAUAGACACACUUAUGUGAGUAGCAGCAGUAGAAUCUAUCCACGAAGUGUAUCUAGGAAGAGAAGUCAAAUUAACUUCAGAACAAGCCAAAGUGAGAAGCUUGCCUCUCUUAACACGCCAAACGGCAUACUUGGGAUAUUCUUUUUUCAUAUGUCCACCCUUCUUGCAGAAGUAACAAGUGAAUUUUGAAUCCUAUUUCUUUUGCCCUUUCUUUUGUGAUGUCCUAAUCGCAGCUUCUUCUUCUUGCACACAAUGAGAAUUAAGCUCGUUAAGAGAUCAUUUAUCCUUCUGAGUAUUGCAGCUUCUUCUUCUUGCACACAAUGAGAAUUAAGCUCGUUAAGAGAUCAUUUAUCCUUCUGAGUAUUGCAGCUUCUUCUUCUUGCACACAAUGAGAAUUAAGCUCGUUAAGAGAUCAUUUAUCCUUCUGAGUAUUGCAGCUUCUUCUUCUUGCACACAAUGAGAAUUAAGCUCGUUAAGAGAUCAUUUAUCCUUCUGAGUAUUGUAACUCAUUUUAAAUUGGCUGUAUUGUGUAGGAAGAGAAAUGAGAAUCAGAUGCACAAGCAAGUCCUCAAACAACUCUAGCUUUAGUUCCUUUAAUUAUGAAGCAACGUGAGAUAUCUCCAUGAUGUGCUCCCUUAGGUUGUCGUUUCCUUUAUAUCUUAUUGAAAUAAGUUUAGACAACCUUUAUGCACUUGGCGAAGCGCUUUUUCAUUUCCCCAUGGAACUUCUUAGCAUUAUCCUCAUCAAACAUAGCGCCCCUUAAAGUUUCUAGAAUUGCAUGUUUCAUUAUCAUGAGACUCAUGCAAUUAAAACGUUUCCACUUCUCAAAGUCCCUUUUUAUCUUUAAUGGAACUUUUAUUUGUAAGAGAAGGGGGUCGUUCUGUCCAUAGCGCAAUGUCCAAAUCCAUGCAACCGAGAACAAUCACAACAUUCUCUUUCCAAUUCUUGAAAUUUGUGCCAUUCGGCACUAGGAUUGAAUUGAUAUUUGCAGAUAUUGAAGAAGCAUCAGCAUUAACUAAACAGAGAAUUAGACUUCAAACAUUAGGCUCAUAACUUUUUUAAGAAUUUUUUUCCAUAACAAAACAUAAUAAAUAAAUUUAAAUAAUGGUGGGCCCCAAAACAAGAUACCUUGUACAACAUUGACAUUUAGUUUUUUGACAAAAAUAUCAACUGUAAAUGGUAAUCAAAUACUAAAAAUUAAUCCCGACAAAUAAUGUUUGGACUGACUAAUUAUUCACAUGGCACACUUGAUGAUUGUCAUAUAUUUAUUACCACAAGUGUAUGUGUAGUUUGGCCAAAUAGUAACUUCUUUUGGGCCGAUCACUAUUCACAUAAACAACAAAUACACACAUCCAAAUAUAUUACAUAAAUUAAUCUACACAAAAGAGGUUACUUUGGUAACAUGUUAUUUCAAUUAAUUUAUUUUAAAAAAUUAGACACCCCAAAAGUAAAAAAGUACCAAAAUUUGAAAAUUAUAUUUUGCAUACAAAAAAAGAAAAAUCAAAAUUCUCAUAAACUAGAAAUAUAAGGUAGGGGGCAGAUUGUUAGGGGUCGCAAGAUGACAGUUUUCAAUAGUUUUCAAGAUGCGAAAUUAAUCCUCCCUUGGGCCUUAUGGGUUAUUUUGCAACCCUAAAAACCUUAUUUUAUGAUCCUANACCAAAAUUUGAAAAUUAUAUUUUGCAUACAAAAAAAGAAAAAUCAAAAUUCUCAUAAACUAGAAAUAUAAGGUAGGGGGCAGAUUGUUAGGGGUCGCAAGAUGACAGUUUUCAAUAGUUUUCAAGAUGCGAAAUUAAUCCUCCCUUGGGCCUUAUGGGUUAUUUUGCAACCCUAAAAACCUUAUUUUAUGAUCCUAAAUCUUUAAAUAAUCAGAAUAUGAAAUCCAAAAUGUCAUAAAUCGAACAACAAUGUGAAAAACUAACAAAGAUUCAUGACAAUUUUAUUUAAAAAAUAGACAUCUAACGAUUUAAUCACGUGUGUCCGCUCUAAUACCACUUGUUAGAUCUUUAUGCAAAUAAAUGCAACUAACCCAAAAAUCACAUGUAAACCGUUAGACAAUUGUUAAUGUAUUUAAUUAUAAACACUAACCAAAAUUCAAGCAUGAUGAAAUAUGUUCAUAGACUUUAACUUCUCUCAAAUACCGAUCCUAGAAUUGAGUGCUUCCAAGUUUGGAUUCGUCAUCUCUCUAAUUUGCUCUCAAUGGGACAGGGCAAAUGAUGGCAAGAAUCCAACUCAGGACCACAACUGUAUUGUGUUUCUUAUAUACUAUAUAUAAUUUGGGUCCCAUAAACGUAGGGGUGGAACUGGGCCCGGGGCUAAACAAGGACCGGCCCAAUAGGCCAUGUUUGGGCCGGGCUUGGGUAUUAAAAAUAUAACUUUGGGUUCGGCCAGGCUUAAAAAUUUAGGCCCAAAAUAUUUUGGGCCUAUUCGGGCAUGUCCAAGUCCGGCCCGAGCCCGACCCAAAAGCCCGAUAUAUUAAUUAUCAAAAUAAAAUAUUUAAUUAUAUACAUAUUAUUUAUCUAUUAAAAGAAAUAAAUGAUAUAGUAUAUCAUAUAUAGUAUAUAUUGUUAUUAAUGAUAUGUACUUAUAUAUAUGAGGAUAUAAUAUAUAUUAGCAAAAUAUUUAGUUCUAUAUUAGGAUAUAUUUGAUGUUAGAUAUUAAUUUCUUUGAUGUAAUCAAACUAAAACUAAAUAUUUUAUUUUAAUUUUAUACAAAUAAAAGUAUUUAUGUAUUAUAUGAUAAAUGAAUGAAAUGAGCCUCCACAAAGCCCGAUGAGUAUUGGGCAUUGGGCUUGGGCUUGGGCUUAGGUCGGGCCUUAGUUUUUUAAAAAAAUUGGGUAAAAGCCCGACCCGAAGCCCAACAUUUUCAUUAGGGCUGGGCUUGGGCAUAGUAUUACCCGACCCAAACCCGGCCCAGUUCCACCCCUACAUAAACGCUAAUUAGUCAUGUACAAGGCUUCUACACAUUAAUAGCCCGUACCUAAUAGAUGUCUCCAAAACUCAUGUUAGAUCACUUUGUGGUCCUGUUAAAUUAGAUAGGCCAUAAUAUUAUUGUAAAUUAAUAUUGUAGUACAUAAGAUUUUUUUAAUAUAGAAGUAACUGUAAAUAAAAAUAGUAUGAAAUACUAUUUUUAUUAGAUUUAGAGCAAUAAAGGAUAAUUUAGAAAUGGUUUACGAUUAAAUUAGAAUGAAAAUAAGAGUUUUGAAAUUUGUAUAUAAAACAGGGCUAAUAGUUCAACUGAAAAAUUUAUAGGACUGAAAAAUUAUGAAACUUUGAAAAGUUGAUUUUACUAUUUUUCUAAAGUCAGAUUUAAAGUUUUGUGUCAUUUGGAUACUUGAGCAGUGAAAACGGCGUAGAACUUUCGAUAGUCUAAAAUAAUCCAAAACCAAAAACUUAAGAUAAAUUGUAUCUAAUUAACUUUAAUUGAGUCUGCCUGUCAAAUUUAGGUAUAAAUCGACAUGCAGAAGGGCUCCAAUUGGAUGUACCAGAUCAAAAUUGGACUAAAAUUAAAUUACUUGAAUUAUUACGGGCCUUUUAGCGGAUUCUUCUCCUUGUUAGUUUAUAAUUUUGAAUCCGAUUUUUGGUGGAUUCUUGAUAGUGGAUAUGACGAGAGGUCUUUUUGAUGGAUUUUCGCUGAAACUGAAGCUUGGAAUUGGAUUUCUAUGUGAUUUAAGAUCCGAAUUUCGUAGAAUUUCGCCGAGGAAAUUUUUGGCCAUCUUGGGAGUGUUGUGGCAGCCAAGUCGAAUGGAUAACAUAGAUUACACCGAAUAAUCCUGCCAGGAAAAGAUAGCCAACACUUAAUGUGAAUGCUGAUGCAACAGCACAAGUGCAAGCACCAACCUUAUACAAUAAUGACCGAGUCUGUGGACAACACAGUAGUAGUUUAUUCUAGGAAAAUGCCAGAGUGACGACUACGGGCAUGGAAUUCAAUUCCCACCCAUGAGUUCUCAAAACAACAAAACCAUCCAAAUGGCAUAGAAACAAUCAACAUCAACAUCAACUAUUAUUUGGUGGUUAUCCAUAGGAUCGCUUAAUUUUUGACAGUGGUCACAUGCCUUAAAAGCAUUUGAACGACAUCACGGGAGAUGCUUUCGGCUUGUGACUUGAGGUGCUCGAUCUUUGCUUCUGUUUCUUGUUCAAGGCGCUUGACAUUCGCACCAGAGUCGCCGCUACUCUGAUCAUAGAAAAAGGAAAAGUAAUGGAUAAAUUUAACUCCAUUAGUUUAUGAGGAAAAAGGUCAUCCAUAAUUGUCGUUUACCUCCGCGACCUUCUUCUGAAAUUCAGCUUCCAUGUGUGCACGAUAUUCAGCAAUCUCCUUAUCCGCCUCUUCUUUAGCCUGCUUUAACCUAGCCAAUUUCGCUUCAUUCUCAAAAGAAAAAAAAGAAAAAAAUCAGUUCCAAUUAGUUCCGUUAUUAAUUCACAAACAACAAUUGAGAACACAAAUUCAUCUCAAUUCAACGAUUAAAAGGAAAAGGAAGAAUCAUGUGACAUCCUAUUUCGUUUAUAACCAAAAAAAAGUUGCAAAAUUUGAAACUGCAAAAACCCAAGAACGCUUUGUUACGAAUACCCUACAACAUAAAUUUCUACCAAAAUUUAAAUUAGUAUCCAAUCCAAACAAAGUACUCUGAAAAACUCAUAACAAAAAUUCACAAGAUCCUUGAUCAUGAGCUAUAAGUAAAAUUGGUUUAAGGCCACAAUUAUAUCACUUCAAACUUCUUGACUUAUUUUAAACUUGAGUACUGGUUUGGCAAUAGCUAGUCCGCAAGGGGAAGUAAUUGUGUACUUUGAGAACCAACUAGCAUGAUGUACAUUUCCAUGGCAGUGCAUUUUCUUCUUUGUUGUUAUUUUACUACUAGUAGGGUAGUUCUUUUCCUUUUUAGAAGUCAAUUUGAACAAGCUACCAACUUGGACCUUUUACCACUGCUCGCUUGAGUUCGGUUUACAAGGCAUACAAAGUACAAUGUUUCAACCAGCAGUUCUACACACUGCUCUGCUUCACUUCCUCUUGAUAAAGCUUAUAGCUAGGACCAUCACCAAAUUUUCCAUACUAAAGCAAGACAAAAAAGGGCAGCAAUUUACUGACAUACAACAUUGUCUAGAAACUCUACGCUCUUCAUAUCCUCCAUCUUUAACUAUUUGAUACUCUAGGUGUCUUUAUUGGAUACUAUAUUGACACAAUCUUAAAUGCUAGCUUUUCAUAUACAACAUUUUAAGAAGGUUCAAAAUGUGGAAAAGGUUUGAAUAGUUUAUGAAUAUACUAGGCCUUUUACAGAUGUAAUUAACAUCAAUGAUCUUCUCUGUAAAGCAAUAAUCCAAAUUGAAAGAGAUUCAUUAUAGAUGCCUAGUUUUCUACUCUGAAUAAAUUGGCGAUGCCUGGCUGUGCUUGCACUACCAUAGAUUGCAUUAUCAAUUUUUCAAUUAAAUAAAUAAGAUGCAAGCAACUGUAGUGCUUUCUUUUUGCGUACAUGCAUAUACAUGUUUGGAUGUUCAAGUUAAACAUUAUAUCCCUGUUUAUAUAUUUUGAGUAUACAUCAUUGUCUAAUUGGGAGCUAAAUUUAUAUAAUUUUAUGAGUAUAAGCACCUCGUUAUAAGUCAUUAUUGACAAUGAUACUACGGAAUAUAUGAUCCAUACCAUUAAGUAUGAUGUAGAGCAUUUCAAGUAUCUAAAAGCCAAGUUUCGUGUUGUCUUGCGUUUCAUGUUCUCCAAGUUUCAAUCUGAUCAGAUAUGGAUCACCAAUGGCUUGAUCUUUCAGUCUCAAAAUAUCAUAAAAUGCACUUAACAUACAAGUUUAAACUGACUGGUCCAAUUAAUAUUGACAACUCUCAAAAGUAUCUACUUAAACAAUCUCAUGAUUUAGCAUCAUUUUACUAGUAGCAUAGGUGCAUACCUAUAACCAGAAUUGUGGUAAGGCAAAUAAAUGAUCGCCAUUACCAGGAUAGAAAAGAAAUGAUGAUAGUUUCAGGCAGCAUUUCCAAAUCCUAAUGCAGCAUUUGAUAAAUGUCACUAAAAGACAAGCUUAUUAUGUAUAUCAUAUCCUAAUAUUAUUAUUAUUGAAUGACUCCUUACAUUCCAAAUAUUUAUUUAAAAUAUGUCAGUUUAUUAACAUUUUUUUAUAUCAAUGAUAGCCGUGUAUCUUGAUAAAUUAUCCGUAGUUAGAUACAUUUUCACGCAUAAAUGGCCUAACCAUGUUCAUAAGCCAUAAUUUUCCUUUUCCAUGAAAAAAAUACUUUCCCCCCUUUUUGAUAGUCUUACAUGGAGCCAAACAUUGCCUAACUAAAGCAUAUGUGUAAAUCACUUCAAAAUAUCUUAACACUCUAUGCAGAGAGGUUGACACUCAGAAAGCAAGAUUGCUUCUCUAGCACCUGACAUGGUUUAAAAUAACUCAAAUCUAAAUGGAAGAACUGACGAAGAACUGAAGAGAGGAAUAAUAAACAGGUAUUAUGCUUUUUCAUUUGAUAAUGCCAAUAUGGUAAAGAUGUCUAAAAUAUUCUUAUCUAUUAGUAAUAUAUUCACUGCGUAGUAAAUUAGAAAAAUUAUUGACAACGAAUGCAUCGCACCAAUCCAAAAAUGAAGUCAUUCACAUCUCGUUUAGAGAAUGGGAAGACAAAAAACAAUGUGAAAAAUGCUUCAACUACCAUGCUUCAUUAGUUAUUAACCAAAAAAAAAAGAUAUUAAUGUCACCAAAGCAACAAGAGCUUGUAUUGCACAACAGAGAUUUAUUAAAAGAAGCUACAUGCUUGCAACUUGCCAGUGAAUGAUGAUGUUUCUUUUCUUCUUUUUUUCCCCCUUCACAUUAUGCUUUUAGAACAACACAUGCACAAAGGUGAAAUAAGCCCCAAAGAACAUUACCAUUUCUUGCAGCAUUCACAAUCUGUUGAGCUUCUUGCUCAGCUGCUAGCAAUUGCUGGAUUCCACCUUGACGCCUGUUGGGAUCCAUCUUCUAGCUGCUAUGUACAAGAUAACUUUAUAGCUAAUUCAUCUACUGCUUGAAAGGAAGGAAAAUACAUGAUAUGAAGAAAAAAAAUACCAAAUUUUGCAAAUUAAGCUAAAGAUACUAAGACAACAAAUGUUGGAUGUGUGAACACGUAAGUAAAAAACUUUUCCCUUAACAGAGAUAAUUUAUCCACGAGGUAUGGAGACUCAACAAGAUUGUAUUUGCAAAAUUUUCCUUCCACUAUAGAUUUCGAGAGAGAGGAACGUCGGAUCCUCCAUAAGAAAACAAACACCUUUCCGUUAUUGAUAAGUUUUCUGCUAUAUGCUCUUCAUGCUGUGGAACCUGAGAAAGCUUCUCUCCGCUAAGGGACAUAUGUGACGGUGCAAUCUCCUUAAUAAAUGAUGAAGGAUGAUGAUGCCUCAAUAUGGGAGUGGGAAGGUAGAUAACUCUCAACCUUAGGAUCUAGCAGAGAAACAAGAAAAUUAAAGAGUUCACCUGAGGCUAUCUCUAAAUUAUUUCCUUAAGAAUGGGAAUAACUUAAUCAACUCUAAUAUGCAAUAGCUUCAAAGUAGGUGGAUCAAUAAAGAAGGUUGAUCAAUAAAGAGAGAAGAAGAAAAAGUCCACUAGUUGAAGCUAGUUAUUCUCUUUUCUGUGGUGGUUCAAAAAGUUAUAAAAAAUAAGAAGUUGAAAGCACAUCACUUAUCAACACCAGUAACGGGUAGUAUACAAUGUGUGAGCAACAACAAGUGUAGGAGGCCCACAAAUUGACAAAGUGCUAUUAGGUUGAGCAGGCAACAAUGGUUGAGCAGCGAAAAUUAAUCAGUUGGCUAUUAGUUUUGAGAUGCUUGACAGCUUUUGAUCAUUAUAUUUAACUUGAUUGUAUCAAAUUCUGACAACUAAGGUUGUAUACUAGACUUUGAAAUCCACCAUGCUCGAAAAACAUAGAUCAUGGAGAAAUGAGAAACAAAAAGAGAAUAGCAGCAGCUCAAUACAAAGCAAAGAUAGACCAUAUCUCUAACUUGAAAAAUAUAAUUGCAUCAAUUAUAAAACUAAUUGAGAUUUAUUAACUUCUGUUUACCUCAAAAAAAGUAGGCCAAACACCUAAAUAGAGUAAAUCACCAAAAAAAAAAAAAAUCAACCAAGUCAGGUCAUCGGGAGCUAGAGGAAUAUAUUCAAACACCUAAUUCACUUGUGUGUACAAUUCUUACAAUAAAACAUAUUUGGUGUGUGUGUGCAAUUCUUACAAUAAAACUUUUUGGGGCGGGCGGGAGGUGGGGUGUGUUACAAUUCUUACAAUAAAACAUAUUUGGUCAUUUCUUAUCACCCCUCUUCUGGUAGUUCCUUUAAACAAAAAAAAAAACAAUUUACCACUAGGAUUUCAGUGGCAUAAACAACAACUCCUUUUUGGUCUCAUUAUUUGCCAUGAAUUGAAAGCAAUUAGCAAGCUGACCUAAGUGCUCAUUGGCAUCGUUAAAUGAAGUUUCAAGUGAAUGCAAGGUUGAACAAAAUUGUUCAUUGAUUGAAUCCUCUACAAGUGGUGACUUUCAUUUCUUUGAUUUUGCCGAUGUGCCACCAUUCGAAGUGUUUACUCGAGCACUACUUUGUUCCACAAAAAGCAUCUCGACAUCAGGAUAUUGGGUGGAUGCGUGUCAUUAAUUCUUCCUCUAGGUUUUUUACGUUUAGGUCAACGCAUGAUUAAUUAGGGCAUAAAAUAUAAAUAAAUUUUCCCUAACAUUUCCAAAUCAGGUCCAGGAAAAGGGAGAUGAAAAAAAAACGAAAUCCAAAACUAGAUUAAUAAGAAUAAAAAAUUCCAAAGUUCCUAUUAAGCAUGUCCUGUAGAAAGAUUGCAACUAAACAAAACAAGACAUGGCUUCAGAUCUAACGAAGUUUGCAACAGAUCUGUAAUCAAUAUGUGAAGACGAGGCAUAAACACUCCUUAAAUCGACGAAAAAAGGGAAAAAAAAAAAACCCCAAAUCGGAUCUAACUUCGGUUCGAAAACAAUUGGUUUUAGCAAGAGAGAAGAAGUGAUUAAAUAUGCUUGCGAAAAUGGCGAAUGGAGGGAAGGAGGUCGCGAAGAUUACCUUGGAGGAUGACGCUGCAGAAGAGGAUAGGAAGAGGAUAGUUGUUCGUGCGAGAGAGAGAGAGAGAGAGAGAGAGAGAGAGGGGGGGCAGCGUGCGUGUCAGAGAGCGAUAGGAACGAUGGUGUUGAUAGGGUUUGGGGGAUGUUGGAGGGUACAAUUGGCAUAUUACAUAGGGUUAAUGACAUGCACGUCCCUGCAAACAUGAUGAAUUAUAGAUAUAUCCCUAUAAAGCUCAACUUUCAUAAGUUAUUUCUGCAAAAGUCCUAAUCAGUGAUUUAAAAGGCGCGCCUCAGGCGCGUGCGUAGGCACCUAGGCGCUAGGCGAGGAGGCUCGCGCCUAGGAAGACCCUAGGCGGGCGACUCGCCCAGGCGCGCGCCUCGUGGGCCUAGGCGCAUGCCUACACUGAGGCGCAAGGCGCGCCUGAGGCAAAAAAAAACGGCUAAUGGGUUUGGACUUUGAUCCAACAUCCAUGAUCCAACUAACCCAUUAAGUGUAAAAAAGAAAAAAAAAAAAAACAGGAGAAGCCCUAGAGUUGAUCGGACUCCCUGACACUUCCGCUCGUCACUCGAGGAACCAUCUGCUCGUCGCUCGCUAGCUCUCCACGGCUCCGCGGCCUCCGCUCGUCGCUCGAGCAACCAUCCGCUCGUUGCUCGCUAGCUCUCCACGGCUCCGCGGCCUCCGCUCGACGAAGAAUCCCUCUCUUUCUUGCUCCAUAGUCCGCGCGACGUGCUUCGCUUGACGGCUCGAGCUUUUCACUCUCUCUCUUUCUCGCUCACUCUCUGAGGUUCAAGUGUUCAACUCAACCCACAUCGAGGCUUUACCCUCUCACACUCAAGUGUGAUCUCUUCCCCUCUCACACUUUUUUAAUUUCUCUUCCUCUCUCACUCUACGGUCUCUACCUCUCACGUUUUUUUCUUUUUGUAAACACUAAACAGAGAGCACUCUCUCUGUUUUUUUUUUUUAAACAGUAAAUACACACACUCUCUCUCUCGCUGUUUUUUUUUUCUUUUUUGUGUGAACAGUAAACAGCUAAACACUUUUUAUUUUAUUUUUAUUUUUUGGUAAACAUUGUUUUCUUUUUAUUUUUUUGUAAACAGUAAAGACUAUGUUUUCUCUUUUUUUCUUUUUUUUUAAUAGAAAAGACAGUAUUUUUUUUAACAGAAAAUAAUUUUUGUUUAAUAGUAAAAACUAUGUGAUUACUCUCUUUUUUUUUUAUAAUCAUAUAUCUGUUGUUUUUUUCUUUUUUGUCAUCUUUUUAUUCUGACGAUGUGAUUAUUUGGUUAUUCAUAAAAUAUCUAUUGUGUAAUAUGAUUUUUAAAGAGUAUUCAUUGUCUUAUAAUAAUUGUUAAAAAGUAUAUUUGUUUAUUUCAAGUAUGCGCCUCACCUCUCUCAGGCGCGCGCCUGCGCCUUGCGCCUUGUGCCUAGGCUCUAUCAGCCUUUUGCGUCUUGGUGCGCUUUAGGCUUUUUAAAACACUAGUCCUAAUAUAUUCAGGUAUAUCCCUCUGGUUAGGAUCCGUUAGAGAGCCGUUAAUUUUUUAAUAGUAGAGUUGUGAAACGACAAUUUUGCCCUUGCCCUCUUCAGGCUGCGGGAGCAGGCGGCGGCGACGGCGGUGGCGAUGGCGACCUUGCGGAGCUUGUCGGGGUUGCGGCCAACGAGGACAAGGAAAAGACGGAAGGCGAAGGCGCAGCCAAUGCCGUCGGAGGCGCCCGUGACGACGGCCCACGCGGGCACCACAACGGCGAUGACGAUCAGAUCAUCGACUACGACGAUGAAGGAGGAAAAGGAGGAUAUGGAGAAGAAGAGGAAAAAGAAGAAGCAGGAGAGGAAGAGGAAGAGGAAGAAGAGGAAGAAUGACAAAAUUGUCGAUUCACAUUAUUAAUUAACUAUGGUUAAGUAUUUUAACUGUGGUUAACGAAAUUUCUCUAACGGAUCCUAACGGUAAGGACAUAUCUGAAUAUAUUAGGACUUUUGUAGGGAUAACUUAUAAAAGUUGAGCUUUACAGGGAUAUAUCUGCAAUUCACCAUAUUUGCAGGGACGUGUAUGCAAUUAAUCCUAUUACAUAAUAUGCAAUAUUACCUGUCUUUAGUAAUUCAAAAUAUACCUCCCCUCAAUAAUAUAAACAUGCCUUUAGUAAUUCAAAAUAUACCUCCCCUCAAUAAUAUAACAUACCGAUGAACUAAACACACUAAUCCUGAUAAGAUUGCUUGUAAUCUUACUAAGAAAAUCUGAACCAAACGCAUCCUAAAAAAUAGGUUACAUGCCGUAUGUAAUUAAAAAAGGAUAAAAAAAAAUAUAAUUAAAUGUAUGUAUGUCAUUGUAAUUGUAUGGAAAUCCUCUCAACUACAAGCCAUUUUGAAAUAGACCCUUCAGCUACUUUUUAUUUUUGAUCUACACCUCGUGAAAUCUCAACUGUUUCUUGUUUCGAUUCAAAUUAUUUUUCUAAAUCAAAUUUGAGUAUUUGUUAGAGUAUGGCUCUAUAAAGCAAUCAGCCAACAGUUGACAAAAUCUACAGUUUCAUCAACUAAAAAGUGCUCAAAAUAGUUUAAUUUCAUAGAAUCUAUAUCAAUAUUUAUCUAUAUAUCUAUCUAUACUAGAAUAUGUAGUAAAUCUACAACUAAAUAAAGUCAGAGACACAAAUCCUUCGAAUCUAAAAUCCGUAAAUAUUUAAUCCCCUCUCCUUUGAUAGCUCCUGUAAUCUAACUGAUUUACACUUACAUAAUAAUUUAACUCAAUUAAGAAAUUUCAUAUGCACUUUUUUAGUAAGAUUGACCAUCACACAUACAGCAUACCCUCUUACGAAGUAUCUAACGCAAAAGAUUUUUACACAAAUAAUAGGCUAUAAAAUGUAUGGAUAGUCCCAAUAGCACCCUCAAAUUUUCGACUUUGUCUCAAAAUGUUAAUGAAAAUUCAAAAUUUUUUAAUGUUUAUUUAAUAUUUUACUAUCUAAUUUAUUUUAUUUAUUAAUGCUUAUUUAUUUUUUUUAAUAACGUUCCUUUAGCCCCCGCUCCGCUUGCGCUCGCGCGCAAGAAGCGUAGAGUCGUUGCGCACUCUGCGCUACGUGCGAGUACGCAAGUAGCUCAUUAAGAGGUGGCUAAUUAUGUGGAGUAGAACGUUGGACUCCAACGUUCUGAAAUUGGACCCUCUCUAUAUAUUAUUGGGGGUCUACUAUUGAUGUUUACAAGGUUUUACAAAAACAGUAUAGAAAGAACUACAGUAAAAUUUUGAGAAUUGGUUUUAUGCUUUUCACUUUCUCUUAUUUAUUUAAUUCUUUCGUCGCCGGGUGUUGAAAGAAGCUUCGUCAACCUCUUCCGCGUUCGUGCUCGUAGGAGGAGGAAUUCUGGUCGUAUUUUGGGGCGGUGUUUCUGGUUAAUCCCGCACGAAGGACGGGAAUAUGCCUUAGGGCAGUGCUCCGCACGCUUCCGGAUCAAAUAAUUUGUCAUUAUUCUUUUACAAUUUUUUUGGAAUUUAGCAAUUAUCGGUAAGUCAAUGUUAUUAAUUUUAUCACAAAAUUAGUUAGAUUUAGUCACAAUCGAAGUUCGUUGUGGUUUCUUCCCCAACACAAAACUCCUCACCUGAACAGUUUAAUCCCUCAAAUUUCGCAAGAACAUCAGCAAAAAAUUAGCCAAAGAGCAGCUUUCCCGCGUAGUAUGCGAAAAAACAACGAAUAGAUCUAAUAAAACAAGGUAACUAAGAUUGGAAUUGAUAAACCGUAGAAACUUAGGGAUUAAACAAAAAAAAAGAAAAGAAAAGAAAAGAAAACUGAUUAGAUCUACCCAAACAGAUAAGUAGAGAACGGAAAAAAAGAAAAUUAAAGCGAGUAAUGGUCGAAACUGAACCUACUAAGAGAAUCGAGAAGAGAGGAGCGCCGGAGAAAGAGAACGAGGAAUCAACGGAGAGGAAGACGACGAGGAACGGCGCAGUUAGGGUUUCGAAAUAGGCCACGGGCGAUGACAUUUAUCGGGUUCGGGGCGAGGAGUGGAGGGUUAGGGUUUUCGUUUGUGGGCCAGGUCGGCGGAUUAUAAAACGGCCAAUUUAGAUAGUAUAAAUAGUCCGGCCUAUUAAGGAUCCGGCCUAUUAAGCGAUGCGAACUUUUAAGGCUAACAUGUGCUAGAUGUACGAUCCCUUUGACAUUGAAGGCAUGUUUGGCUUCUAAUUGAAAUAGGAUUGAAUUAUUUUAGAAUGAAAAAUAGAGUGAUGGAUCAUCAAAAAAUAUUUGGUUCAUUAUCGGAAUAAAAAUCGGAAUGAAAAUUCAGAGAGAAUUUUGAUUAAAAGAGAGGAAAGUGAUGAAGAGAGAGAAGAUAGGUGUCGGUGAAAGAGAAUUUUAAAUAGUUUAUUUUUGAAUGGGCCAAUACGAAAUUCAAAAUCGGCAUGGUCCGCGACUUCACCAGGGUGCAGUCCCUCACCGUCGCAACCCCCACACACUCUUUGUCGCCGCUCUGUCACGAGGUUAGCAUUUUCGCCUUGAAAAUCCCCACGCGGUGCUCAAGUGUCGCACACUCGAGCCAGCCUUCUCGAGUCCCUAACACGGACAACUCUCCCAAACUUAACAGCGGAAUACCAAUUCAAGCAUUUUGCCAAGCUUGCUCCUCUGCGAGACUUAUAGCCCGACCCUUCGCCUGAAAUCGAACCCCUCGUCGAACUCCUCGAGUUCCCAACGAGCAACCCCAAUACCGAGGUUGGCCACCAAGCAAGGUGUAUCCCGUUUCGUCAACCAAACCCUCCUCGAGAGUGCUCCGUAGCUGAAUGCCUUGCUGCAUUGAUCACUAGCCCCAAGGACAUAACAAGUUCUCCCCCCACUUGUCCCAAUAUGAGUCUAGCCGAGCGUCCUGCCUCACCAUGCGUUCCGCUCCCACGACUUGCCCUGCACGCCACUCGCGUUAAGGUCUGGGUUCGCAACAUCGCAUACCAUGAAGGACACUCAUAAACAUAUAUAUUUCACUAUCGUGCCUCAUGCGCCUGACAGUGUUCAUGGCCAUACCGCAUAAGCGGUCUGCUCGCCCGGUCCAACGGCAUACAUCCGAAAAGACACCCAAGUGCCUACCAAAUGUGGCCCCUAAGGAUGUCACGGUCAAGUCCCAACGAUCAACCCGUGACAGCCCGGCCUAGCACCGCUUGGGACGACACCAUCGACAGCCUCGCCCUCGCCCUCGCCCUCGACGGCGCUGCCAUCCCCCUCCCGCCCCGUGAAGGCGCCACCUGGGCCUCGCCGCACGUGUCCGUCACGCACACGCGCGCCACCAACACCGUCAACGUCAAACUAUGCGGGAAGUUCGCCAUGUCCGCCGUGGUGGUCCCCAUCACGGACGAGGAAUUACGGGUGCACUGUUACAACAUAAAUGGCGAAUAACUGCUUCGCGCACCUUUUCCUAGCGUUCAAGUUCCAUGACUUAACGGAGGAGGUCGACGACAUCUUGGGGCACACGUAUAGAAAGAAUUAUACGAGCAGGGCGAAGGUGGGGGCUGCAGUUCACGACAUCGGGCCUCUUCGCCGCGGAUUAAUUGCGCCGUCUCCUGCUUCCGUGCAGGCGCCUCCGUCAAGAAAGAGUAUGCAGACAUGCACUGUAAAAGCGGGCCGUAGACCAUGGGGUCCUCCGCUGCAACAGGUAAUAGGAUAAUAAUAUAUAGAGAAAGUAUGUGUGUGUGUGAGAGAGAGAGAGUGUGAGUAAACUCUUAUUAAAGGAGUACUUACAAAAAUAUAUAAUAUUAUCUAUUAACUCUAAUGAAUCCACAAUGUUUCUUGCUACGUGGCAAGAAACCCUUCAUUCUUAGGUUAAUAGAUAUAGAUAAUCAUAAAAUAAAACCCACCCACUUUGAGCCAAACCAAUUCUCUAAAAUAAUAAACCACUUUGAACCGAACCAAUUCUCUAAAUUAGCACUUGAACCGAACUGAACCAAUGAUCUGCCUAUCUAAUUUUAUUUUGUGUAUGAAAACCGAACCGAAGAACCAUUGAACUGCAUCUCUCUAAACCUCUGAACCGAACCGAACCGAACCAAUUCAUCGUCAUAAAUCCUCCUAAUAUUUCUUACAGUUUCGGAACCAAACCGAACAGAACCGAACCCUUUUUAAAAUCAAAUCGAUUCUCUAUAUAAAUUGGUUCUGAACCGAACCAUAGAACUCCCUCUCUCUGAACUUUUGAACUGAACCGAACCGAAUCGAACCCUAUCUAAACCUGUAAAUAAAACCGAACUAAAUUACUCUCUGUAUGCAAAGCGUUUACUGUCCGCUCCCUCUCCGCGUGCGCCCUUGCUGAAACGCUCCCCCUCCGUGCGCGCCCUUGCUGAAACGCUCCCCCUCCGCGCGCCCUUGCUGAAACGCUCCCCAUCCGCGCAUUCUUGCUUCUUCGCUCUCCCUCUUGAUUUCGUGUGGUAAGCCGUUUCCUCUCCUCCACCGCAGUAUCCAUACCCAAUUUCUGUUUCAGACAAGAUCGUGUCUCAUCAUUCAUCAAACUACCACCGUUUCAAAUGAGAUCGUGUAUUAUCAUUUCUUUAAUUAAAUCUACUGGCUGCCGCUUCCUCUACCCUCAUUGCUGCUACAUUUUUGCCUAUAUAUUUCAUCCAUCCCUUAGAUCAAAACCAUCAUGUGAUCGGUAAGAAAUUUAGGUAUUCUCUUAUAGAUUCAUCUUAAAUUAAAUAUAAGAAAUUUAGGUAUUCUUUCUUUUUUAUAUAAGAAUCUAUUAACUCUAAUGAAUCCACAAUGUUUCUUGCCACGUGGCAAGAAACCUUUCAUUCUUAAGUUAAUAGAUAUAGAUAAUCAUAAAAUAAAACCCACCCACUUUGAGCCAAACCAAUUCUCUCAAAUAAUAAACCACUUUGAACCGAACCAAUUCUCUAAAUUAGCACUUGAACCGAACUGAACCAAUGAUCUGCCUAUCUAAUUUUAUUUUGUGUAUGAAAACCGAACCGAAGAACCAUUGAACUGCAUCUCUCUAAACCUCUGAACCGAACCGAACCGAACCAAUUCAUCGUCAUAAAUCCUCCUAAUAUUUCUUACAGUUUCGGAACCAAACCGAACAGAACCGAACCCUUUUUAAAAUCAAAUCGAUUCUCUAUAUAAAUUGGUUCUGAACCGAACCAUAGAACUCCCUCUCUCUGAACUUUUGAACCGAAUCGAACCAUAGAAGUCCCUCUCUCUGAACUUUUGAACCGAACCGAACCGAAUCGAACCCUAUCUAAACCUGUAAAUAAAACCGAACCAAAUUACUCUAUGUAUGCAAAGCGUUUACUGUCCGCUCCCCCUCCGCGCGCGCCCUUGCUGAAACGCUCCCCCUCCGCGCGCGCCCUUGCUGAAACGCUCCCCCUCCGCGCGCCCUUGCUGAAACGCUCCCCAUCCGCGCAUUCUUGCUUCUUCGCUCUCCCUCUUGAUUUCGUGUGGUAAGCCGUUUCCUCUCCUCCACCGCAGCAUCCAUACCCUAUUUCUGUUUUAGACAAGAUCGUGUCUCAUCAUUCAUCAAACUACCACCGUUUCAAAUGAGAUCGUGUAUCAUCAUUUCUUUAAUUAAAUCUACUGGCUGCCGCUUCCUCUACCCUCAUUGCUGCUACAUUUUUGCCUAUAUAUUUCAUCCAUCCCUCAGAUCAAAAUCAUCAUGUGAUCGGUAAGAAAUUUAGGUAUUCUCUUAUAGAUUCAUCUUAAAUUAAAUAUAAGAAAUUUAGGUAUUCUUUCUUUUUUAUAUAAGAAUUUUAUUUUCUUUUUCCCAGGAAUCGACGCUCACAUUUCUACGAUCUGGACGUUUUCUUCUUCCUAGGGUUUCAGGUUAAUAUUUCUUUUUUUCAUGAAUUGUUUCUUUUUGAUAAUUUAAUCUUCAAUAAUAAGCCUUAAAUAUUUAUAUGCGAGUAUUGAUUUUCUGUUUUUAAUCAUCAUAUCUCUCAUCAUUUGUUCACAGGAAAAAUGUGGAAAAGUAAACAAAUUAUUCAUUAAUUAUAGGCGAAUAAUCGAUGAGUUCUUAAAUUAUUUCAUUGAUAUGUAGUUUUCCACUUAGCAUUCACAUGACAAAUAAUUAGUGGAAUGAUAGGGCCGGUGAAAGUUCAUGAAUGUAGAUUUAUAUUAAUCAUCUUCAAAUUCUUAUCCCAAUUCUUAGAAUUUUCUUUCAUUCAUCUUUUUUCGGAGUGAUGAACUGUACUUCCCUUUAUCUUUCAUUUGACUGCAGCAAUGGCGGCACCUGUUAGCAUUGCUAUUAAUUUUCGUCGUCUACUCCGCAAGAUCUGCGCUAAAUUUUCGCUCAAUUCUCCGAGUUAUGGAAUGACAUUAGAUGCGGACUUGCGAUUUUGUUCUUAUGUCGAUGUGGAAAUUCCAAGAAAUAGCCGAAGCAUAGAAGUCAUUACAAGUUGGGGUGCUAAUCGUACCAAAGAGGAUGCUGCAAGGAUUGCUAUUGGGAGGCUUCGCAACGAGCUAGGCUUUGAAGUUAAGGACACAAAUUACGAGGAAAGAAAAUAUUUAAGAGGUUUAUACGAUCAGAUUUGUCACGAUCAUGAAGAGCUUCGCGACGAAUAUGAAAUGCUUAAGUUAGACUACGACCUUCUUAGAAGGUUCUAUAAUUCUUUGGUCGUAUAAAGGGACCGAAUUGUUGCUGACUUGGAAGAAAUGAAGGAAAACAUUGAUAGAUGUUUUGAAAUAAUUCACGAGCCCAACGUUGCUCCACUGGAUGAUGAGUCGGCUGCAAACCCUGAUGAACAUGUGAUGCCGCCUUCUCCAGAUCAUUCGCCUACCGUAUGUGGUCCGGAGUAUACUAUGAUAACCGAAGAGGAUCUGAAGACACCUUUUGACCGCAAAAACUAAACUUUAUCUUUUUUUCUUCCUUGUUUCUCCUUUUUUUAGUUUCAUCCUUCCUUAUUCUGUCAUCUUUUUUCUCUUUCUUUUAGGAUUUUCCUUCUGUUUGUGUCGUGAGUAGCUAAGUUCUAUGUUUUUGUGUUUUCAUCUUUUUCUUUCGUAAUAGGAGUUGAUUGUUGUUUGCGUCCUUUUAAUACAGUGUCCUUUUUGUUUUAAUAUGGUGUUCAGUGUAGUGCACAUGUAAUAUACGAAAAAUUUCGGGUUGCGAUGCUAAUUUUAAUCUGGAAGAUUAAAGUGAAAUGUGAAUUAGAUGUACAUCAUUCCAGAGUGUUUCUAGACGUAUGGGAAUGAUUUCUAGAGGUAAUUGAGUAUUCGGGCACAAAUCGGGGGCGAGAUGAACGUGUAAGGGGAUUUUCGGAUUAUGACGCUAACUUUGAUCUACGCGAUCAAAGUAAGGUAUGAAUGUUAAUUAUAGUACCUCCAAAUUAUUUUGGAAGUGCGAGGAUAGUUAAUGGCAAAUUUCGAAGAUGCUUGGAGGUAAUAUGUCGGAUUUUUAUUUAGCGGCUAAUCUUGAUCAAAUUGAUCAAGAUAAUGCCAAAAUGAAAUUAAAUGCUUCCAAAUUAAAUUGGUAGCUUGUGGAGGUGUAUUAGCGUAUUUUGGGAGUGUUCGGAAGUGUUUGAGGCAAAGUAGAAGUGCGAAAUCACCUUGGAAAUAGGUGUGCUGGUGCAGAUUUUUCACUAAGGGCAGUAGGGACUGUUUUGUAAGGUUGCAGGGACCUCUUUAUAACAGCAAUUUCAGCUGCCAAGUGCAAUAAUGUAACACACUGGACCUUUGCAAAUUACGAGGUUUGAGUGUUUGAGCUGUGUUUCGAACUUUUUCAUGCUUUGUAGAGGGUCGUAGAAGGUGUUCCGACCUAAAAAGUUCGAAUCCUGAAAAUAGUUUUGUCCUGAGAGUUUUUACUCUCAGGGACCGGUCCCUGGUGGGAGAGAUCGGUCCCCUUGGAACAGUGUUGCGGCUGAUUGCGAGGCAACCGGUCCCUGACGGGUGAGACCGGUCCCCGAGCGCGUUUUCGCGGGGAGAGACUUGUCCCAUGCGGGGAGAGACCGGUUCCCAAAUGUUGGUUUUGCGGGACGAACCGAGAGACCGGUCCUAGGCAGGGAGAGACCGGUCCCUCUGGGCGAAAUCUGCCUAGACCGAGCUUUGCACAUGUUGCAAAGUUGAGGGGCUUUUCUGGAUUUUGUUACUUUAGAGGGCCUAUAUGGCCAUUCCACCCUCUCUCUCCCUCAUUUCACACUCUCCCUUAUGCCCUAGGAGAAGAAGAGGGAGAAGAAGAAGGAGAAGAAGGAGGAGAGGAAGUAGAGCUUGUUUGAGGACUUGGAGCUUCACCCCCACCCUCUCUUCUUCCUUCUGGUGGCUUGGAGCUUGCUUUUGGAGCUUGGUGGUGGAUCCAUCUUCAACCCAAGAGGAUUUUGAGCUUGGAUUGAAGCUUCUCAAGAGGUUAGUUGCCCAUUUCUCCCCUCUAAACCUAGUUUUGAUGGUUUUUGGGAGAUGGAACCCUAGAAUGGGAAAUCUAGGGUUUAUUUAGGGCUUUUUGAUUAAGGGCUUUUUGAGCUAAUCUAAUUGGAUUAGAACCUUGGUUUAGGUUACUUUGGAAGGGAUCUAGUUUCCAUUUGAGCUUUGGAAAGGGAUUUCUACACUAUAGGUGAGAUUUUGGCCCUUUUGCUUAGUAGAUUAAUGUUUGAGCUUGUAGUUGAUCGUAAGGUUCGUUUAACCUUUGUUCUUGUGCCUCUAGGGUACUAAGAGGCUAGGGGACACCUUCGUUGGAGCUUACGAAGGGUUUCGAGAUGGUUCGGUGGGUUUGACCUAGCCUAGCAUAUGAGAAAUUCUCAUAUCCUAUGUUUUAUGCUUCGUAAAGUAGAAAUUCAUGCAUUUCUAUGAUAAAUGUAAUUAUUGUGAAUUUUAGGAUGCUUAACAUGCCUAUGUUAUGUGUGGUGAAUUUUCGGACCUCUAUGUAGUAGAGAACUAGCAUGUGGAACUUGUACAAGAUUGGCAUCCUAUUGAAACUUGGAAUCAUAAUUCCUAUUGUGAAAAUGAGCAUUACUUUCAUGCAUUUAAAGGUUUUCCUACUUAAGACUUAAAGGAUCUUAGUAAGCCAUAAAGAGGCUUGGGGAAGCGGCAUUGAGCUCGGGUCAUGUAUGAACCUAGUGUCAGGGUCAUUAAUGGAAUAUUGAAUAGGUGGGGUGCUUGACCUAUAGUAAUGCUUAAGUGUCAUAAAGAGGCACUAAGCAUAGUGAGAGUCGGAACUUCACCUUGAGACAUAGAACUAGAUCGUUGGAUGCUAGUGGCUAUUACCAUGUUAGAGGCAUGAGGAUUGGGUACUUUAGAUGAAGAUUACACUUGCUUGUCAUUUGUGCUCAUUCGCACAUGCUUGUGAGGGUCGCUCCCUACAAGCCGGCACUCCGGAGUUGGCCUACGCGACUUAUGCUCGCUCGUGCGGUAUCGAGAAACCUACGGGGUCGGGAGGGAUAGACUCAUUCCUAGAGUGGGAAUGCUAGAGCCGACACUUAGGUGGCACAAGCUGGACUACACUAUGUAGGUCCUAGAACAUGUUGGAAACAAUGACAUUGAACGGGGAAAUGACAAUCACUACUAGAUAGGCUUUGUAGUUGGAUUACUUUGACAUGCUUAUAGCAUAGUGCUGAGACAUGUAGUAUACUUGACAGUUUACUUGUUACAUCAUAGUAUACUUGGUUGCCAUGAUAGAUCAUUAUCAACAUACAUUGAUAGAACGGAUCAUGAUAUUUACUUGUUGCCAUGUUGGGACAUAUUGUUUUAUGCAUUGGACAUACUUCACUUUAAUAAAGCAAAUGUACAACACUUGGACAUCAUGUUUAUUCGCGACAUAGUAGCUUAGCAUUUUAUUUAUGCUUUCAUAAAUGCAAUCUAUUUACUAUUUUUGUUGCUUUUUGGACUUACCCUUUUCUUUUGGGGCCUAGUGGUGCAUUGAGCUGAGGUCAGUAAUUGUCCACUGGGAACUAUAAAUUAUAGUUCUCACGCCCUCUGUUUUAUGUCUUAUUUCAGAGCCUUCUACGCCGGGAGAGGCUAAGGACCGCGGAAAGGGUAUCGCCUCGAGCUAGCUUGCUAUCGAGGGACGCGUUGAUAGGUGGUCUACCUCUCGUUGUUUUUUUUUUUGGAGAGGUUGAGAGUUAUAUCCAUGUGUAGUGACCACCCUUUUUGUGUACCCCUUUUUUUAGAGAUGGUUAUUGUAUAACUUUAUGACUCACUUUUAUUGUUUAGUAUAUUUUCUACCACCUUGUUAUAGAUGAUAGAUUUACUCUCGCUCUGAUAUCCCUAGUUGUAGAUCAUCUCUUUGGUUUUAUUUUUUGCUAUUAUUGUAGAUGUCUUAUAUGUGCUGACAUAUGGCAGAUCUAAGCGCGCUACUGGGAGGGCCUCCGCCGGUCCAGGGGCGUGACAAAUAAACUGCAGGGACCUAUUUGAAACAGCAAUUUCAGCUGCUAUUAAGUGCAAUAAACUGCAGAGACCAAAUUGUAAACAACAAUUUCAGUUUUUGUGGAGGAUUUAAGAGCAAUUGCUGUUACUGCUGCUGCUGUUAGUGCAGAGAACCUGCAGGGACUAAAGUGUAAUAACUGGACUGCAAUGCACUUUUUGGGUUUCAAGGGGUUAAAGUGCAAGUUUGUGAUCUUAUCACUUAACCUCAGGUAUUUGGCAUGUGUCCACGUACCAGGACCUUCCUCCAACAGCUCUUUUCUCAUCUAUUUCCUCAUCUCUUUCUCUCUCAGCCAUAGGAGCAGAGUAGUAAAGAGAAGCUUGUGGAGCUGAGUUUUUCUUGCUAUUGGAGCUAAGAAGAAACCCUGUGGAGUUGAAAAGGAGGCUUGUGAAGCUGAAGGAAACUUUUGGGAAGCUUCAAAUCCAGGUAAACUUAAUACUUAAUCCCUGGUUGAGAAGUAUUAGGGACUGUGAAGAUGAUUUCUGAAGUACUGUUGGCAGAUUUGGGCUUCGGGUUAGUUGGAGUUGCCGAAUUGAAUAACUCAGCUGAAGAAGCAUCAAAUUCGCGUAAGAAGCUUACUCUCAGCUGGAAAUUUGUUUCCUUAUUGUGUGAGAGAAAUUAAAGUUAUAGUAGUGUGAGGAAAACCUUGAACAUAUGCUGAAAGCAACAGGUAUGUACCCAGGUUGCUAGAAAUGAAAUCUAAGGUGGAUUAGCUUUAAAUUCUGGAGCAGUAAUGGAGUCGUUCCUAUGUAGAGAAGCUUCCCAGUGAUUAAAAAUUAAUGUGUAAAUGUAGGAAAUUCGAAAAGAAGCUAAGAACAAAUAGGGAUUGUGUAGCUACUGCCCUGGUACAAGAUCUGGGCGCCCGAAUUGUGAGGAAAACGUGGUGGAGCUUCCAUAACAUUUCGAAUAGAGAGAGAGGCCUAGUGGAACCUAAAUUCAGGUAAGUAAUGAUACUUUCCCCGGGUUUAGGUGAUAUGGAUUACUUUAAUGGAGUUGUGAAUAUUAGAAUUACUUAUUUUAAACAUGUAUUGGAGCUGUGAAGGGAAAUUGAAGUGCAAAAUUUCAACAUACACCCCUGGCUGUUGGAGCUGAUAUAGAGCCUGGUAGAACUUCGAAUCCAGGUGAGAUUAAUGUGAUUUCCUGGGUCAAUGAGUACUAGUUACUCUAGGAGAAUUAUAAACAAUAGAACUGAUUGUUCUAUGUUUGUAGUGCUGCAACAAGGGAGAAUAAUAGAACAUAUUUCAGCAUUGAAGUUAUUCACUGUUGGAAUUGAAAAUAAGCCAAUUGAGCAACGAAUUAAGGUAGUCCUGGUUAAAUAUUGAUUGAGAUCCAAUUAGUAGAACAGGGAGAUGCUAAUUGGAGGUCCUGUGGAAAUUGAAACUAGUAGAAACCCCAAAACUGCAUUAUGAAGCCUAGAAAGCUAGCUCUAAAUAUAUAGAUGAAGGUGAAUAUGUAUAUGUAUAUAUACUCGUGAUUAGCUAUUGGAGGAUGAGAAUCUGAGCUAAUAUUCUAAUAAAACCUAGUUAAGAUUGAUGUUAAUUCAUGUUAGGAAGGUUGCGGUAUGAGUGGACUAACUCCUAAAAGGAUGUUACAUUGUUGAGCCUAUAGUAAAUGGGAUAUUACAUAGGGUACUAGUGAGCUGUGACUUACGUAGAAGUAGAACCUGCAGCAGGGAAUAAUAUAAAUUAUUUAAGCUGAUAUCUAUUUAUUUCUAGUAGAUGUUAGUUGCAGGUUAUUGAUUCCUAAAUGUUACCAGGGAACUUAGCGGAAAAACUAUGUAUAUAUAUAUAUAUAUAUAUAUUGACCUUAUAUACAAAUUGGAGUUGAAAUGCAAAGUUUGUGAAAAUGAAAGUAUGACCUAAGUUUAAUCUCUUUUAUUCCUUAUUGAAGGAACGUGUAACGUGCUCGGAAGUUCGAAGUCACGUUCCGACAGAUCUACGGCGCACUAAUUACGGUAGGAGCCGUUCUGGCUCUAUUUGCUCCGAGUUGCGAGAGCUCGUUGUCGAUACAGUUCGAGACGUUGAUUCCAGUUUGUUGGCAUCCCUACAAACUUCCGAUGUCUAUGUUGCCUUCUUGAGCAUAUCUGUAUAUAAGUAAAAUAAUAUUAUGCAUUAUAGGGUUAAUGGUAUUAUAUGUUUAUGAAAUGAAUAAUUGGGCAAAUCUCAUUGUUAAGAACAUGUGAACCAUAGAGUGUGGACCAAGAACCCUAUGAAUGUGUGAAUUUUACUGUGGACUAUGACAAUAGUAAACUUGGUGACAUUAUGACUAGAAGCAUUGGUUAGCAUCAAUAUUGGAACUGUAAAACUAGUAUAAAGAGCUAGUUAGAAAUUAAAUUGUGGCAUCGUCAGUUAUUGAAUCCUCUAAGGGAGGAUUGGAUCAUACUCACCUAUUCAGUUUUGGCUUGGCGGUGGUCGCUCCCCCCAAGCAGUGCACUCCGGAGUGUGUCAUUAAAUGGGUUGAUCGUAUGAGUGUAGUACUCUGAACUUUGACAAAUUGCGAAGUUCGAAUGUUAGAAUUAUAAUUGGAACUAUUCUACAGCUUUUAGAGGAUUGUCAAGAGGUUUCAGUAAAUUACGGGAGCAAGUAGAUAGUUGGAUGUGGAAAAGUGCAUUGUAAAAUGCACUUUCUAAAUGUAUUACCCCAAGGUUGGUCAAUUAUGAAGUUUGAUGAGUGGGAUUGGUAGUGGGAGCCAAUCCACAUCUUUUAAAGAGUUGUAGUAAGGUUCUUAACAAGUUAAAGGGGUGAUCGAACAGCUCGAAAAUCGAAAGUGCAUUGAAAUUUCGAAUUGCAGGAUUUUGCAUUGUGUACCAGUACAGACUCAAUGUUGUACCGGUACACUUCGCAGCAGCUGCGUGGCUGAGGUGAUUUUGGUCAUUUCACCUCUUGAGCUUAUCCCUUAUCAGCUCAGCCCGAGCCCCAGCCUGUUCUUAUCAUGUUGGAGGCAGGGAACAGGGUAAGAACCAUUUCUCUCUUUCUCUCUCUAGAUUUUUUUCCAUUUUGAGGUGGAAAAGGGGAUUUGAGCCUAUUUCUUUCUCCUCUUUUGUGUGCGCUGGUUUGAGAGGCAUGGAGCAGCUGUGGAAAGGUGGAGGAAGGAUUUUUGGAGGUAAUUUACAGCCCUAACCCAGCUUGUAGCUGAAUGGAAGUUAGGUGAGAUGAACUACUCAAUUUUCUCUCUAGUUUUAAGCUAUACUAGGGAAGUGGAACCUGAACUUGGUUUGUUUGUCCCCAGCUGAAUUGGGAAGGUUUAAAGCAGCCUUAGAGGAAUUGUUUUGCUGUGAGGUUGCAACCUGGAACCAGGGACAAGCUGAAAUGAUGUUUGAAAGGUGAUUAACUAGCUAUUUCUCUACCUUAAUGCUGAAAAUAGUGAUGUUAGUGGUAAUUUGGGGCUGUUUUGGAUUAUUACUCGCAGCAGGAUAAGAAAGUUUUGUAGCUAAGCCCUGGGUGACUCUUGCAGCUGGUUUUGCAUUGGUUUUGCAAUUCGAAGCCAAAAGGAAAGCUCAAUUGAAGUUGUGGGUAAGUAUGCUAUCUAGUAGCUCUUGGAUUAGAGGUAUUAGUUAUAACUUUAGUGCAGUUUUGAGUUAUGAUCACAGCUGGUUUGCAGCAGGGAUAAUACUCCCUUCGAGUUGAAUUUAGAUGACCAUUGUGAGCUGGAUUUGGAGUGCUUCACCCUGUGUGAAGUGAAGGUUAAACUUUGGUUUAAAUCUAGGUAAGAUUCUAGCUUAAACUAUGUAAAUAUGAGAGAUUUACAUAUAGAGAUUAAAGUUGAACCCCUAGCUGAAUUUGAACUAUUGUUUGAGUGCUUAGAGGCUUCGGAUCACUGCGAAUGGAAUUUUAGUGAUUCUGAAAGAUUGGUUAUGAAGUGCUUCAAUUUGGUAUAAAGGAAAGUUCAUGAGCGAAUUCUAAACUAGGUAUGAAUCUACCUAGAUUGGAUGCAUAUAUAAGAUUUCUAGUAAAAAGUGAAGUUCAACUUCUAAUUGAAUUAGUAUAUGUACCAAGAUACUUGGAAGCUAAAGAAUAUCUUUGCUUGCAGGAUCGACGAGAGCCAACAGCGAUUAGGUGGGUCGGACCUUCCCGAAAUGGGUGAAUUUCCCCUAUGUCUCCUUUGAUAUUAUGAGUGAAUAUGUUAUACGCUUAUGUGAACCUAUGUGUAUUUGGAGGAAUUAAGACUCGCAUUCAUGUGUAUAUCAUAUUGGUUAUAAUAGCAUCUCUACGCAGUAGAGAAGGAAUUACGAAAUUGCCUAUUCCUCAUAGAUCAUCUAGCUUUACUGGACAAUAAGGGAAUUAUGUACUAGGGAGGAAAUCAUGCUAAUCUAUGUUCUAAACAUCGUGCUUGAACUUUUAGUCUAUUUUAUAUACUGAGGUUAUUCAUACAUUCAUAUAGAAUCAUACAAAUGUAUAUUGAAUAAUGUUUCACAUAUUUGUGCUAACCAGUAGGUUAUUGUUUCCAAGUGAUAACAUUAGCAUGAGUUUCAUGUCUGAAUAUGAUCUAGUUCAGCAAUCAGAACUGGAUCUUUUGAUAUAGCGUGAAUAUACAUUGUUGAAAAUAAGCUAGUGGAAUGACUAGCAUACUUAUGAGGAAUACUGGUACAAUCAAGCAGAAGUACUUAUAUGUUACUUAUUUACUUCAAGUAGCAGAGGCCUAUGUAGAACUCUAGAAUAUGUGUCAUGAGUGGUAUUACUUCUGAGUGAAUAGUUGAGUAUGAUUUUAGUAAAUCACUUUCCUUAUGUAUAGGGAGUAGUGAGAGAACUCUAUGUGAGUAUAUGUGAGUAUAGCCACUGUGAUGUAAAGAAUAUACUUGUUGAGUUAUACUAGCUAUUGGUCGAAUUAUGUCAGCAAAUAAUUGAGAGUGGCUUAGCGACAGAUUGCUCGCUCAUGUACGAAGUGAGCGCCAAAAUGGAUUGCCGGGGGUAGUGUUAACGUCCAUAAGGUCAUCAGAUGCAGCAUAUGCCAGACAGCCUUCGGGUGGGUCUUUAUACCAAACAGCCUUCGGGUGGGUCUUUAUACCAGACAGCCUUCGGGUGGGUUUUUAUACCAGACAGCCUUCGGGUGGGUCUUCAUGCCAGACAGCCUUCAGGUGGGUCUUUAUGCCAGACCACCUUCAGGUGGGUCUUCGUGCUAGAUAGCCUUCGGGUGGGUCUUAUAAGAUUUAAACAUCGAGUAAUUAAAUGACAAGUGAACCUAUUGAUGAACAAACUAGAAAGUUGACAUCUUGACGUUAGUGACAUAGUGACAAUGUGUUACACUUUUACUGGUGUAGGAAAUAAUUCCAUGAUAUCAUCAAUUAUUUCAGCAAUAAUGAAUUAUCUUACAUACCAUUAGGCAUAAGGCUAGUUAAAUUGUCAACUAGCAUGAAUGAUAGAACUUAUCAGGAUAAACGAGUACCUACAACCUGUGGAUUGGUGCAUUUAUAUAUUGAUUUGGAGUAAAUAGCAUGAUUGAUUUAUUUCAAUACUUGUUGCAUUUACUUGUUUAUUUACUACUGUUUACCUUUACCACAGUUGACCUAGUGGUGUACUUCGCCACUCCCGGCGGCUUACCCACUGGGAACUAUUGUUUAAUAGUUCUCACACCCUCUUUGUUGUUGUUUUUACAGAGCCUUCCACAGCGGGAAAGGCUAGGGUUCUUAGCGAGGGGUCAGCGACUAGCUAGAGCUUCCUCGAUGCUAGAUAGAUGGGACCACUUCAGCUUCUCUAGUCUAGUACUGUGUUUUAUAGUGAGAUUAUGUAAAUUAUAGUUGUUCUUACCUGUUGUAAUAAGAUGUUGAGUUGUAUAAGUUUUAACUUUUAAGUUUUGCUCUGAUUACCUGGUUAGAAGUGUAUGCUUUUACUAUAUGGUUUGUAGACGCCUUGUGUAUACUUGAGUGGUGGUGUACACGGCGGGUCUGUGCACGCGACUGGUGAGCUUCCGCUGAAAUCCAGGGCGUGACAAUAAGCCUUCCCAGUAGAUGAUCCCGUCGGGAGGCAGCUUAGGGCCCGAUACUUAGGGAUUGCGUUGGUGAGUUAUAGUUAACCAAAUGGUUAACCAGAUGGAUUGGGUAUUGAUUAUUAGUAGCAUGCAUGCAUCAAUUUCAGAUAUUAUCUACUGUUUCUUUCAACUUUCUACAGGCAUUGUAGUAGUUACAUGUUAUAGCUGAUUACUAUCUACUCUCUUUCUUGUCUACAUAUGCCUGAAUAGACCUAGUGGGUGAGUCGGCGAGGUCGGCAGCCGAACCCACUGGAAACUUUCAGUAGUUCUCACCCCACUAACCAUACAGGUUCUAGUUCGUGUGAGGUGGUCGAGGAUCUUGACAGGGACAGCGCGUUAUAGAUAGCGACAUCCAUUGAGUAUAGUUGUACCUUAUUUAUUUCAUCUGUUUAUAGUUGAUGAAAAUAAAUGUAUAUUAUUCAUUUGAGAGAUGGCAAUGUAUAUAUUGGAAGAAUGAGUGUAAUAAUUAUAUAAGCUUUGUAUUUGAUUUAAAGUAAUCAAGAUAUAAUGUAUGAAUGCUUUAGUUAGUUUACUUAUACUUGCUUGUGUUGCUUGCCCUCGUGCAAGCCAUGUAUAUUGAAAUUUUUUCUGGGCAUUUCUUUAUACAUGUUUGUUGUUGUUGUUGAGCCUUGGGCGAACAGAGGAGGUUCUGUUCGUUCGGCGUCUAUGUACGGGCCUGAACCGACCAAAUUGGCGGUCUCGGGACGUGACAGCACAUAUAUUAAAAUAGCACUGAGAUUCCACCAAAAACUAAAAUAUUUUGAGAACUAAUAGGUUGAAGACAUGUCAAAAAUAUUAAGAUGGUUGUAUUACAAAUCUACAAAAUAUAAAAGCAUGUAGACCUCAGAUAAUGAAGAUUACUGCGAGGGUUAUUAUAUUCAAUUGCUAGAUACCAUUUUACUAAAUGCUAUUUUGCUCCACAAGGAAAUCCAAAGCAGGAUAAAGCUAGGGGGCAAUCCACAAUUGAUCUUUGACUUCUAUACUACAAGAAAAUUUUAUAAUUCACCAUAAAAUCUAUUACAAAAAAAAAUAAUCAACAGUCAGACUGUCACGCCCCGGGACACAGCGGAAGCCCGCCCGUCACGUGUCCAGACCCGCCAUACGUCUAAAACAUAUAAGGUGUCUAAUAGAAAACGAUAAAGAGAGCAGUAGAAGAGAGGCAUCUAGAAGCAUCAGAGCAAGUACAACUAGAUUCUAUAAUAAGAGAGUAAACAAGAAACUAAAAUCCAUUAAGUAAAGAACCAAAAAGUAGAACGACUAAAAUCCCAAGUACACGGACUAAGAAUAAUACAAUUGUAGUCUCUAUACAUGGUAACAAAACUCUUUCUCACCAAAAAUACAAAAAGAGAGUAGACCCGCCUAGGAGCAAAAGCAAGCUCCGCGCUAACUAGCUAUGCGACUCCCUUGUCGCGAUCCCGUGCCUCCGCCGGUGCUGAAGGCUUUGAAAUAAAACCAUAAAACAGGGGGCGUGAGAACUAUUAAAUAAUAGUUCCCAGUGGGCAAUUACUGACUUCAGUGAAAAGCGCCACUAGGCCCAAACUAAGCAAGUAAGUAGCAACGAAUAAUAAUGAAAUAAACAGCAAGUAAUAAACAUGAAUGCUUGCUAUAACAUGACAUCUCUACUUAGCAUGAUUUUUCACAAGUAAGAAGGCUAUGCUAAUAUGAAUAAGCAUGAGUAUGCAACCAACAUAAUGUCCACAAUGAAAAUAGUAAUAUUUCAUUGUUUACUAUUCUAGUUCAUGUCCACUUGGUAUAUUAACUACUUAUAGUUGCAAUCUUGUAAGACCCACCCGUAGGCUGUCUGGCCUGCGCCGUGCCUAAUGGCCCUGUGGUAGUCAACAUCCCCACUCUAGGGAUGAGCCUCCCCCACGGUAAUCCACUUCGGCGCCCAAUUCCGCACAGGCGAGCAUAUGUCGCGAUGGCUAUCUCCGGAGUGCCGGCUUAUGGGGAGCGACCCUCACAAGCAUGUACGAAUGAGCACAAGGGCAAGCAAGCGUAAAAUCUGUCUCAAGUCUCAAGUCAUCAUGUCUAAAAUAUGGAAUAUAACCUAUGUUUCAAUGGCCUAUCACUAUGUCAUCGUGUCUAAAACACGGAAUAUAGUCGAUGUCACAAUGGCCUAUCUCUAUGUCUCUAUGUUGCAGUUUCACAGUUUACUAGUUAAAGUGCCCCUUUAUGGCACUUUUGUUCACUUUGUCCAAACAUGAGUUAGGAGUUCAAGAGUACCCAAUUUAGGUUCUAUUCAUCAUAGGAGACAUAAUUCCAACUUGCAAUAUAGAAUACUUUUCACAUGCAUGCCUAAUACACAUAUAGCUCUACUAUAUAGAGUUGAAUUUUCGCGUUACAUAACACAUGCAUUUUAAGUAUUCUAAAAUUCAUAAAAAUCCUAUCUAGCAUGAAUAUGCAUCCAUCUCGAUGAAACGACAAGGGUAGAACACAUAGGGGAUAUUUCUCCCCUAUUUCAUGAAGUCAAACCCACCGAAACUUCUCGAAACCCUUUGUUUGCUCUGACGAAGGUGUCCACUACUCUCCUAGUACCCUAAGGUAUCGUUUGGUUCGGGGAUAACCAAAAAAUGAUUAUUCCAGGGAUAGGUAUAAAUUGAGGUAUAAGCGGGGAUUAGAUCAAUUUUGCGUUUGAAUGAAAAUUAGGUUAUUCCUAGGAAUAAAAAAAAAAUAGCGUUUGGUUAGGUAAGACGGAAUAAGAAAGAUAGUAGAUUUUUAUAAAUAAAAAAUAAUAAUAUUACCAUCUUAUUAUAUUUGAAUUGGAAUUUUUAAAUUUUUAAAUUUAAAAUUUUAACUUUGAAAUUUCAAAAUUUGAAAUUUAAAAUCUCAAAUUUUAAAUUCAAAAUUUUAAAUUUUAAAUUUCAAACUUUAAAUUUAAGAUCAAAUUUAAAUUUAAAUUUAAAAUUUAGAAUUCUAAUUAUAAACUUUAAUUUUGAGAUUACAAAUUAUAGAUUUUAAAAUUUUUAUUAUUUUAAAUUUAAAAUUUGUUAAAUAAGAUAGGGGUGGAAACAAUUAAUAAAAUAAUUUUUGAUAUAAAAUUUAUAAAUUUUUUUACAAAUUCCGGCUGUAAACUUAAUUAAUAAAAAAUUUAUUAUAUAUUUAAUAAAAUUUUUAUAAAUUAUUAUUAAUAUUAUGUAAUAAAAAUAAUAUUUUAAUAAUUAACAUGAUAUAAUUAUAUAUUAUAUUUAUAUAAUUUAGUUUAAUUCAAUUUAUAAUUUUAAUUAAGUUUGAAAUUAAGCAUUGGAAUAGCGCUAUUCCACCAAAGUGGUGGAAUAGCAAAUCCCCUGCUAUUCCAGGAUAACCGGGAAUAGUAAGGUUUGACCGGAAUAUUUUAUCCCAGCAAUAAAUCUUCCCGUUUGGCAGAAUAGCGGGGAUAACGAAAGUUAUCCUCGCUUAUCCCCUGAACCAAACAGGGUCUAAAGGUCACAAAAGGAGGGAUACACGAACGUUACGAACAAUCAUAUAAUCAAACAUUAAACAACCCAAGCUAAGGUGAAGAAAACUCACCGGAUGCGAAGAAAGUUCUCUCGAUCUCCAAAAGGGAGUUAGAGGCCUUCUAAUCCAACCUAAACGAAGGUUCUAAUCCAAUCAACAAAGCUCAAAAAGCCUCAACUCAAAAAUCCCCAUUUUAAACCCUAAACUCUCAUAUCUAGGGUUCCAACAUCAAAAACCCUCCUAAACAUGAAUCAAAGGGUAGGUUAAACUUACUAACCUCUCCAAAGCACCAACUCAAGCUAGCAAGUGAGCUAGGGUUGAAGAUCAAACCUCAAACAAGCUCCAAUCCCAAAAUCCAAGCUUCACCCAUGGAGGAAACCAACAAAAAGCAAGGAAAAGCAAGAGAGAGGAGAUCAAAACAUGCAAUAAUCCAUCAAAAAUGAAAAUCAAACAAGGGGGAAAGGGCUCACCUUGUUUCUCCUCAGGUUUGAGUUCAAAAGAGCUCCAAAGGGGGCUGGGGUGAGUUAUAUAGGUGUUGCAAUAAAUGCAAAAACACCCCUCACAAAAAAUAGCGCACAGAGUAAAGUGUACCGGUACACGGGAAGGUGUACCGGUACAAAUCCCGCGUAUGCGCGAACCCGAGGCUCGGGUUGGCAAUACACCACAUCUGUACCGGUACAACCAUCAAGGUGUACUGGUACACUUUUUGUACCGGUACAACCAGCUACUUAUCACCGGUAACACAGUGUACAGAGUGUAAUCCGAGGGCAGUCUAAGUCCUCCUCCUUGGUGGCCUUAGCGCUACUUAAAAUACCAUAAAUCUCGGGAUACGAGCCAUAGGUCGGAACACUGUCAACGACCCUCCAGAAUAUCUGGAAAAACUCAGAACACUCAUCAAACACUCGAAUCUCGCAAUUUGCAAAGGUCCAGUGUGUUAGAUAGACGUGGACAUGAGGAAGAGCAAUAAAAACUUGAGAAUCAAGAUAAUACCAUUCCCUUCGGUUCUAAGGUUGUCUUAACUAAAUCAGCAAUUGCCAUUGCACCAAUAAAAGAUGCCUGUACCGGGAAGAAAGUGGCAAAAGCAACUGUAAGUAAAAAUUUUGACUUAGGAAUAACAGGAAAAGGAAAUUAAAAUCUUACAAAAAUCAGGAAUCCAGAAAUUAGCUCAAGAUAAUUUCUUCCAGGAAAUAUAUUUACUGAUUUGGAAAAAACAGCAUAUCAUCCAUACUAUUUGAGCUUGGGGAAAUUGCAUAGCACACUGAUAUCUUGGUCUUGGAACUGAAGUUGGUAAAAGGUAAAACAAUGCAAUAGAAGAAACUAGCUUGAACUAAACUUUUAAUAAGUCAUACAAACCUGAAUUCUCAGCUUAUGGAGGGUUACACUUGAGCCCCACUAAUGUCCCAUCAUACAAAAGGACAACACCUUCGAAUUACACCAAUCAAGCAGGGUCAAUUACAGCUGGUCAAUUCAAGUCCGACUCCCAAUUGGUUCGCACCACGCCUAACUAUCCAUCAUGAUCAUAAUCCUAAUUGAGAAAAGCCCAACCUGUGGGACGUUAAUAUAGUAAUCAAUUUAUAUAACUCUAGAAGGAAAGCUUAAGAAUAUUGUGUUAGAUAUGCAUACAUGUAUGACAUAAUUUUAUAAAUUUUUAAUUUUAUUCUGUGAUAAGGUUGUAUAAAAGAAAAAAAAUUACAAAAUUAUAUUCAACUGAUUUGUAUUUUCUAAAAACAAAUUUCUACCAUAGGCAAAAUUAUAAUCAGAUUAGAUGACUAUAAGAUAACUACUCUGCUAUAUGAUACCAUAUAUGAUAACCGAUGUUUAUAUAUCGCAAGCACAUGAAGACUAUAUAGGACAAAUAUGAUAAUCUAUUAGGUAUAUUAAAGAUGAAUAGUAAUAUAUUAAAAUUUUUAAAUGUAAUAUAUGUAACUUCUGUAAGUUAUUUUUGCAUUGAUUGUUGUCAAUAUCAUUUGUAGUAUCUCUUUGUUCUGUUCUCUACUACAGUGAAAAACAACAAAGGUUUUACAUUCAAGUUGACACCCUGUUAUGGGAGUAUAGCUAAGAAAAAGCUACCAUUAAUGAUCAAGAAGUAAUAACUGCAUAAAGUUUGUCAAUAAAUGUCUAGCUAGAGUUUGUCAAUAAUCAGCAGUAGGCCGGUCUUUAGGAUCAAAGGCAAGUAUGCGCUCAAGUAAUCGCAGAGCCAAAGGAUCUAUACCAGGAAACUCCUGUGAAAAAGGAAUUGCUGGUUUUUUUCUCAUGUUACUCAAGUAUCUUCUAGCUUUCUUAUUUCGAAUCUGUGGCACAAUAAGAAAUGUUAACAAAUGCACAAAUCGACCAAAAUUUUAAAUCAGAGAUGAACUGCAAGAUGAAGAUACUUAAACUAAUACUUAAUCUUCAAACAAUAAUGCGACUAACCAGAGCUUAAGCUCAGUUACAAAUAAGGGAAACUUUAAUGUGCAAGUGGGUAAAGUAUCAUAUCUGUAAUACAUAAUGUACAGAACUUUCAUUUGUUUAUAAAAGUUGACUUACAUAGACAUGUUACCGGGUAAAGCAUACAUAUAAACUAAAAAGUAGAAUGGUUCUUGAAAUUUAUAAUGAACUGAUAUAUUAGAAUAGGACUGUUGUUCGCAGUUACGUCAGAAAGAAAGAGGAAGGAAACAAACAAGAGAAAUGGAUUCUAGUGGAGGAGUUCCAAGUAGAUCAGUCAUGAGGUCCAACUGAUGAACCACAUUCUUGCCAGGAAACAAUGGUUUCCCUUCAACAUCUCUGCAAAUAUGCAUCCUAUACUCCAAAUGUCAAUUGCAGGAGUGUACUGCAAAAGUUAAAUAUCUCAGUUCAGAUCAAAUAGAGGACCAUAGGUUAUCAGGAUCAGUUUUCACAGUGAAACUGGUUUAAGGACGACUUUCCCUUUUUAAUGAGUUGUUGUAACUCACGAAAUAGAUUUAGUUGGCCUGGUUCUUCUUUGUAGUAGCAGCAAAUUACUAUAUAACUGUUAUAGAUUGUGGACAAACUAUUAUACUAAAAAUUUAUUUGAGCAUACUUUAAUUUUUUAAUAUUUAACUAUUACUUUUGUUGAUAUCUUACUAUUUGUAAAAUUUUACUACAAUGCUCUCUAUUGUGAAUAAUUGUAUGUAUUAUUAUAUUCUAUAUCUCUAAUUAGGAUUUACUAACAAAUUACCUAAAUAUUUUAUUUACUUAUGUUGAUAUUUUAUUAUUUAUAAAUUUUUUAUUUUAGCAGCAACUACCCGCCGCAUCGCGCGGGUACCUACACUAGUUAUUGUUAUAAUUAAGGGGGAAGGUUAACUAUAUAACCUUCGAUUACUAUGUGCUAAUUUAUGUCAUGUGGUGUCAUAUAAAUUGAGGUAUCAGAAUAUACUAGUGUAAUUAUCCGCACGAUGCAGCAGACAGAUAUUAUCGAAGCAAUUUUUUUAUCAUUAUUGAUCAUCGAUGCUAGUCUAAAAUUGUACAUAUAUAAAAGAAAAUACAGUGAGGAGAUGAAGAAAGAAAAAAAGAGAGAAAGAAAGAGAGGCGUAAAAUGAAGGAAUGACAAAAUAAUUUAAAUAAAAUUAUUAGCCAAAUUAAUAAUUCAAUUAAUUUAAAUAAAAAUAAUUUAAAUAAAAUUAGCUCAAGUUGCUAUAAAAUUUUCAUAUAUAAACUUUAAUAUGAUUUAAAUUGUAUUUGUUGAAUUAGAUUUUAAUCGUAUAAUAGUAAAUUUUUUAAAAUUAUUCAGUGUAUAUAUAAAAUUGUAAAUUGGGGUAAGCAAUUAUUUAUAACAUAUAUGCAAAUCCUUUAAAAGAACAUCUAAUUAUUGAAACAAAUCCUAUAAAAAAAUAUGUUUUCUAUCAGCUUAUUGUUUAACAAUUUUACAUACAUCUAAAUAACUAUAAAAGAAAUUGGAAAAAGCUAAUAGAUAGGAUAGUUAAAAAAAAAAACAUUAAAAAAAAAGAAAACUAUAAAAAAUUUCUGAUCACUUGAUUAUCACCAUAUAUACUAUCAGUAAUAAGUUGAUUAUAUAUCCAUACACUCUCUUCCGCUUCUAUCGUCGCUGCCGCCACCGCCGCAUUCAAGAUCUUCAUCUUCUACCACCACUGCCAUCCCACCAAAUACACGACGGGAUCUGCGAAUUCUAUGGACUCGACGCAAUGCGACAGUGAUGAAAGGGAGCGACUUUUACGGGAGAGGGAGAGGGUGAAAGAGGUUUAGCAAAAGUUGAAGAACGAAGAGAUUAAUGAAAACAAAGGGAGAAGAAAAAAUUAAUUAUUAAUUAAUUACAAUAAUAAAGAGAGAGAAGAAAAAAUUAAUUAUUAAUUAAUUACAAUAAUAAAGAGAGAGAAGGUGGGGUUAUUGGAAGGUAAAGAGGCGGACGUUAAAGAAGAGUAGAAGGUGAGGAGGUCUACGAUGAAGAAGAUGAGAAAAGAAUAAUUAAAAAAUAAAAUAAAAUAAUUUUAAAAAUAUAAAAAAAUGAGAGCUUGCCACGUCAUCAUUUGAUAUUGGGGAUUCAUAUAAGAGGAUAGAUAUGAAACCCCAUUUGGGAUCUAGGUGGCAGCGAGGGGCUAAGGAUGUCAACGGAUUGGGUUUUCAAAAAUCCGAACUCGAACCCGAAAAACAAAUUGAAACUCAAACUUAGACUUGAACCCAGCGGAUUUUAAAAAUCUAUACCCAUAUCCGACCUCGAGCAAAAACCCAAAAUCCGAACCUGAAAUAAUAAUUUCUCUUUAUCAUAUUUCAAAAUAUAUUAAAGUAAAAUUAAAAUUUUCAAAACACAAUCAAAUGCAACAUUAAACAUUCAAGACAUACAAUAUCAAUAUCUGAAUAAAAAAAGUACAAAUUCAAAUGGUUAAAAAUUACAAUACAUAUAUCGUAUAAAUAAAUUUUAUAUAUAUAUAUAUGUCUACCAAUUUAGAUUGCCACCUUUUGAGCUAUUGUGGUUUAGGAACCAUGAUAGCUAUCAUAGGGUUGGCCUGAGAUAUAUAUCUUGAUCCGAUCUUAUGAUAGUUAUCGUGGUUCGAUAACCACGAUAACUAAAAAAUCGGAAACCUAACUCUUUACACGCCAAUCCUACUACACCCCGGGGAGCCCAACUCAUUCACCAACCAAAUUAUCAUAUUAGAUUGCCUAUUUUUAUUAGUUUCCCAAUUUAGAUUGCCACCUUUUGAGCUAUCGUGGUUUAGGAAUCACGAUAUCUAUCAUGCGUCAGCCUGAGAGAGAGAGAGAGAGAGAGAGAGAGAGAGAGAUAUAUAUAUAUAUAUAUAUAUAUAUAUAUAUAUAUAUAUAUNUCAACCUAAUGAACCCAAACGAAGAUCGUAUCACAACCUGUGUACUCAUACGUAUAUAUGUACAUCAUACGAUCCUCUACAACGGUAAUGUAAGUAUAUAUAUUACAGCGGUACAAUUUCAUAUUGGUAGUAUCGAUGUAUUCCCUUUAGAACUUUCAUGAGCGCUUAUACAUCUCUGUGUGAUCAGUACUGUUCCAUUUUCACGUAGAAUAUUUACGGUCUAGGUUAACGUUCAAUAUUAAAUCGUUAAAAUAAAUACGAAAGUGUAAACGUUAAAUAAAUAACAAAAAUGAUAGAACCUGAAUGGGGAAAGAGAAAAACUACUCUCUAUCUAGUAGUGAUUGUCACACACUCAACACUGUGUCGGUUUCCAUUUCCAAUUAGGGACCUACCCAAGGUAGUCCAGCUUGUGCCGCCUAAGUGCCUGUGGUAGCCCGACAUCCCUACUCUUGGAAUGUGUCUGUCCCACUCGACCCCGUAGGCUUCUCAAUACCGAACGAGCGAACACAAGUCGCGUAGACUAACUCCGGAGUGCCGACUUGUAGGGAGCGACCCUCACAAGCAUGUGCGAAUGAGCACAAAUGGCAAGAAAGCAUAGUCCAAGUCUCAAGUACCCAAUCCUCAUGUCUCUAACAUGGUAUAGUCACUAGCGUCCCGAAGAUCUAGUUUAAGUCACAACAUGAAGUUCCAAUACUACUAGUCUUGUGCCCCUUUAUGACACAUAGACAUUUUAAUGAACAAGUAUUUCCAACUCUCUCAAUGGCACUAUCCAAUAGGUUCACACAUGACCCGAGCUCGAUGCCCCUUCAUGACAUUAGCCCAAUUAUUAACAAUUAGCACAAGUCCCCGAGCCUCUUUAUGGCUUACCAAGAACCUUCAAGUUCAGUAUAGGAAUAACUUUAAAUGCAUGCAAAAGAUGCUCAUUUUCACAAUAGGAUUUAUGAUUCCAAAUCUCAAUAGGAUGCCAAACAUAUGCGAGUACCACAUGCUAGUUCUUUACUAUAUGGAGGUCCGAACUUUCAUUACACAUAACGUAGGCAUAUUAAGCAUCCUAAAAUUCACAAUAAAUAUAUCUAACAUGAUUAUGCAUGCCUUUUCAAUUAACGAUACUUAAUUCAUCACAAAUGAGAAUUUCUCAUUGUGUUGCUAGGUCAAACCUACCGAACCGUCGCGUGCUCCUUCGAUUCGCUGAACGGAGUUGUCCACGAGUCUCAAAAUACCCUAAAAGUAUCGAGCGAAGAGAUACACGGGCAUUACGAUCAAUCUAUAAGGUCAAACUUUAACAAACUUGGCAAAAGGGCUAAAACUCACCUAAUGUGUAGGAAAUCUCUCUCAAGCUCCAAAAGAGAGCUAAAUCCCUUCCAAUUNUUUUAAAAUCUAACGUAUAGAAUGAUUGGAUAGUAAAUUUUGAAAGGUUGAAUAGAUAAUUCAAAAUGAUUCAUAGUUCAAAAAAAUUCUAUACGAUUUUAUUUUGAUUUUAAUAUCAAACUUUAGUAUUAUAAUUAUAAGCUGAUUAGCGAUCAAUUUUACAUCUAUAAUUUUUGUAAUAUCUAAAAUAUGAUUGGUCGACUUUAAUUUUAACAAUUAGACAUUAUAAAAUUUAUUAGAUAAUUUAACAUUGUCACGCCUCGGGGUCUUUUUGUAGUCUAAAAACACAGCGAAAUUCUUUUUUUUUGAAAACCUGACCCCCGGGGUAUGCCAAAUCCACCACAAAUAUAGGGAGUCCACUGUUCACACGGACAGAGUCUCCCCUGUAUUUGCACAGCGCCGCACAAGUACAAGAUACAAACAGAAUACAACCACAACUGAACAUAAAGACAUUCAUAUUCAUACACCAUUUACCACAGAAUUACAUUCCGGGUUUAUUCAGAAAUCCAUAACUAUUAGUUUAAAUGUUUCUUACUCGAAAACUCAUUUUGAAAUACUAGUUUAUGAAAACCACAAGAAUAUCUUUUUCAAAUCUGUUUUCUACACGGAAACCCUUUUUCUUUUAAAUACUACCACGAGGGGUAGAAAAUUAUUUUUCAAUUCACAAAAUCCACAAUUCCUUUUAUUACUUUCAUGAAACCAUGUGAAUUCAUAAGUAAUAACAACUGAACCAAAUAACUGUCUAAGUCAUAUAUCAAUAGAAGUAAAGGGGUAGUAACUAAACCAAACCAACCGGGUCGGAAGCUCUAUCGACCGUUACGAACAUGUCUCACGUCUCGUCUCAACCCUCACCGCUCGCAAUACCUGAAAAAUGGUGGGGGAGGUGAGAACAUGUAAACAUGUCUCCCCUCCCAGUGGGUACCGCAAGCCGAAGAAGGCGAGGAGUACUCACCGGAUCAGGAAGAACUAUACAACAAAACGAGUCAGUGGGGAUACAGUAGGAACAAUAGUAAACGAAAGAUAUGUACAAGGUAAUGAACAGAUAUACUAAGUACAGUAGCAACUAUAAUACAUGAACAGGAUGUAUAGGAACAACUACCGCUACUAUAAAGAAGAACUGAAUGCAUAUAUGGGUAUCGAAACUAUAGUAGUAAGACAAGUAUAUGGAAAGAACUGUAAAUGUAAGGAAGUGAAUUCUCAAAAUUCGAGAGUUGUACUUUGUCCAGGAUCGACUAUUUGUCAAGUGAAUACCCUUCGGGAAAGCUAAAGAUGUCCAAAACACAAAAAGUGCUUUGGAGUCGAGUCCGCGAGAGCAAAUAUGGAAAAAUCUGGACUUAGCAAAUUUUUUUUACUCUCGGGGACCGAUCCCUGGAAGGGAGGACUGGUCCUUGUAGCUGAUGGUUGCGGGGGAGGUCGAUGCAACCGGUCCCCGGCUGAGGGAACCGGUCUCUGUGUGCGACACCAGCGAGAGAAGGGAAAAAAUGGCUAAGUCCUGAAAAUUCAGCUCUCGGGAACCGGUCUCUCAGGAAGGACCGAUCUCCCAGGGAUCGGUCAUUCGGGCGGGGACCAGUUCCUGUACGCGAAAGGUCCCCAGGCCACGGGGAGGGCUCUCGGGGACCGGUCUCCCCGACGAAGGACCGGUCCCUCUAGGCAAAAACUGCCCAGUGAGGGCUGUGUACAGGAUGAAAAGUGGAGGGGCUAAAAUGGAUUUUGUUACAUUAGAUGGGCUUAUGGGCCCUCUCUCUCUCCCUCAGCCUCUCAUUUUUCUCCCUCUCUUACACUCUCUUGCUCUCUCUCUCUCUCUAGAAAGAAAAGGGAAGAAGAACAAGAAGGAGAAGGAGAAAAGAGAAGAAGAAGGAGGAGAUCAAGCUCAAGGAGGCUUGGAGCAUCUCCCUCUUCCUCUCCUCACCAUUGGAGUAGCUCAAGAGGUAAGCUCUUGAACCCUAGCUUAUGGAACUUAGGGUUUGUCACGCCCCGGGACCGGCAGUGGCCCUCCCGGUAGCAUGCCCAGACCCGCCAUAUGUCAACGCAUAUAAGGCGUCUACAAUAAAAACGGAAGUAAAAGCAAGAGAUAGAACAAAUAGGAUAAAUAGCAACUAAUGAUAUCAGAGCGAGUAAAGUUCUAUCAUCUACACCAAAGUAAAGAAAUAAAGCUAGACAAUAAAAGUAGCCAUAAAGUAGUACAGUACUAUCUCUUCAAAAGGAAUACAAAGAUCCAAAAGAAGGGUGGUCUCNCUCGGGGACCGGUCUCGCCCGCCAGGGACCGGUUGCCUCAGGGCUGCCGCCGCAACACUGUUCACUAGGGGACCGGUCUCUCCUUCCAGGGACCGGUCCCCGAGAGUAAAAACUCUCAGGACUUGUCCAGAAUUCUAGUUUUCGAACUUUUUAGGUCGGAAAACAUUCCCCAACCCUCCACCAAGUGUGGAAAAGCUCGAAAUACAUCCAAACACUCGAACCUCGCAAUUUGCAAAGGUCCCGUGUGUUAUAGGGUUUUAGGUUUUGAGUUUUGGAAAUGAGGACAAAUGGACCUCUAGCACCCUUGUUGGUGGAUUAGAGCUAGAGUUAGGGUUCCAAAGUGCAAAUAGCAAGAUGUGAACCCUAGGGCUCCAAAUGGGGUUUUUGGUAAAGUAUGAAAUUGAUCUCAUUUGAGGCCUUGUAAACCUAAUUGCUAGGUGUCUAAACGCGGGGGCGAAGUCGGAAUUUCAAUUCGUCGAGCGGGAGAAAAGUUAUCGGCAAAAUAAGGCCGAUUGAGCACCGUUUUGUACCAAGGAGGCCGAGACGUCGUCGUAACGUUCGGCGAGAGGCAUUUCUAGAACCUCUACGACUAUAAAAGGUGGGGGGUGUCAUCCGGAAGCAACCGAGCCCUUUUCUAUGUCUUAGAAUAAUAUAAUUUUCAUCUGUUGCAUGUUGCAUUGUAGGAUUGCAUUGUAGUACCUUUUCUUAUGCUUUCUAAAUGUUAACCUAGUGUACUUGGAACGCUUGGUGAAAUGGAUAGGUGAGGAUUGGGUCGGAACAUGGAUCCUAUAGUGCUAAAGAAAAGAGAUGGACUCGAUGAUUAUUUAGUGACAUAGAGAGUGGCAUCUAAUGUUUAAUGAACAAAACGAGUGGUAUUAAUGUAGUGUAUUAGACACUAGAAGUCUAUGGACUUAGGGAUAGGUAGAAUCCCUUAGAAAAUGCCUUGUGAACAAUGAAUUUAGUAAAACUAAGUGUUUUGCAGGAUUAUCGGAGUUUUAAAGAGUUGAAGCAGAGAUUGACUUCGACUCUGGUGCUCGCUCUACCGGUGCAGAGCGAAGAUUUCGUGGUCUACAGCGACACUUCCUAUCUAGGAUUGGGGUGUCUCCUGAUGCAGGGCGGGAAAGUGAUCGCUUAUGCGUCCCGUCAGCUGAAGAGCUAUGAGAAAAACUACCUCAUUCAUGAUUUGGAGCUAGCAGCGGUAAUCUUCGCCUUGAAGCUGUGGCGGCACUACUUGUAUGGUGCCCAUUGCAAGAUCUACACCAACCACAAGAGCCUGAAAUAUCUGUUCAUACAGAAAGAUCUCAACAUGCGACAACGGCGAUGGUUGGAACUUCUAAAAUAUUAUGAUGUGGAUAUCCUUUACUACCUGGGGAAAGCGAAUGUGGUCGCGGAUGCACUGAGCAGGAAAUCAACGGAAAACCUCGCUAUAUGGGUUAUGAAUCAAACACCCCUAUGGCUGGACAUGGAGCGAAUGGACCUUGAGGUGGUUGCUCCGGAGAUUCCGACCCAGUUGAUGGCGCUUGUUGUCCAAUCGACCUUCUUGGAGAGGAUCAAAUAUCUGCAAUCUGCGGACCCAGAACUCCAAAAGAUGCAGCGAAACAUCGAGGAAGGUCGAGGCGGCGAUUUCAAUAUAGACGCCGGUGGUACACUUCGGUUUCGAAACUAAUGGUGUGUGCCAAAAAAUGGAGAGCUUCGCGAGCUAAUUCUACAAGAAGCACAUCGGUCUCCAUAUGCCGAUCACCCGGGCGGCACCAAAAUGUACCAAGGGUUAAAAAUGUACUAUUGGUGGCCGGGAAUGAAAAGUGAUGUUGGACGCUUCGUGACGAAGUGCUUAGUAUGCCAACAAGUAAAGGCCGAGCGUCGGUUUCCGGCGGGAAAGCUUCAAAGCCUACUAAUCCCCGUUUGGAAAUGGGAGGAUCUAUCGAUGGACUUCGUGGUCGGCUUGCCUCGCUCAACUGGCGGCCAUGAUGCGAUUUGGGUGAUUGUGGAUCGAUUAACGAAGUCGGCUCACUUUUUGCCGAUCCACACCACGUGUGCAGGUGACAAGUUAGCGCAGGUAUACCUCGACGAGAUAAUGAGACUGCAUGGGGUGCCGAAAUCGAUCGUGUCGGAUCGCGACCCCUGGUUCACUUCACACUUCUGGAAAAGCCUGCAGGAAGCCCUUGGCACACGGCUCGACUUUAGCACCACAUUUCAUCCUCAGACCGUUGGGCAAAUAGAGAGAACCAUUCAAACUCUAGAGGAUAUAUUGCGAGCGUGUGUCAUCGACUAUAAAGGGAGUUGGUGUGAUCACCUACCGAUGGUCGAGUUCGCCUACAACAAUAGUUAUCACGCUAGUGUAGAGAUGGCACCGUUCGAGGCUCUUUAUGGGCGGACGUGUCGGUCUCCUAUACACUGGAGCGAUGUGGGUGAGCGUACAGAGUUCGGCCUGGAUGUUUUCCGAGAAGCGGAGGAGAAAGUUCGUCUUGCUCGCAAGAGAUUGCUCACGGCGCAGUCGAGACAGAAAAGCUAUGCAGAUAGACGCCGUCGAGAUAUAGAGUUCGCGGUCGGCGACCGCGUAUUUUUGAAGGUUUCACCGAUGCGGGGUGUGAAGCGGUUUAUAGUACGGGGAAAGUUGAGUCUCCGAUACAUUGGACCCUAUGAGAUAUUAGAGCGGGUUGGCACGGUGGGGUAUCAACUCGCCUUGCUGCCAAAACUCGCGGAUGUACACAACGUGUUCUAUGUCUCCAAUCUACGCAAGUAUAUUCACGACCUCGAGCACGCGAUGCUAUAUGAGCCACCGGAGCUUCAAGAGGACUUGAGCUAUAAAGAAUUUCCGGUGGGGGUUAUCACCCGAGAAGUGCGAAAGUUAAGAAAUCGAGUAAUCCCCUAUGUUAAAGUUCGGUGGAGCAAUCACGAUGAUCACGAAGCCAGCUGGGAGCUCGAGGAUUUGAUGAGAAAGCACGACCCUCAUCUAUUUGAGGAAUGAGGUAAAGGUUAAAUUAAAUUAGAAAAUUGAGUUAGUUUCGAGGACGAAACUCCUUGUAAGGAGGGGAGGAUGUAAGAAAGUGAAUUCUCAAAAUCUGAGAGUUGUACUUCGUCCAAGAUCGACUAUUUGUCGAGUGAAUACCCUUCGGGAAAGCUAAAGAUGUCCAAGACACAAAAAGUGCUUUGGAGUCGAGUCCGCGAGAGCAAAUAUGCAAAAAUCUGGAUUUAGCAGAUUUUUUUUGCUCUCGGGGACUGGUCCCUUGAAGGGAGGACCGGUCCCCGUAGCUGAUGGUUGCGGGGGAGGUCGAUGCAACCGGUCCCCGGCUGAGGGAACCGGUCCCCAUGUGCGACACUAGCGAGAGAAGGGCAAAAAUGGCUAAGUCCUGAAAAUUCAGCUCUCGGGAACUGGUCUCUCAGGAAGGACCGGUCUCCCAGGGACCAGUCCAUCGGGCGGGGACUGGUUCCCGUACGCGAAAGGUCCCCAGGCCGCGGGGAGGGCUCUCGGGGACCGGUCUCCCCUACGAGGGACCGGUCCCUCUGGGCGAAAACUGCCCAGUGAGGGCUGUGUACAGGAUGAAAAGUGGAGGGGCUAAAAUGGAUUUUGUUACAUUAGAUGGGCUUAUAGGCCCUCUCUCUCUCCCUCAGCCUCUUAUUUUUCUCCCUCUCUUACACUCUCUUGCUCUAUCUCUCUCUCUAGGAAGAAAAAGGAAGAAGAACAAGAAAGAGAAGGAGAAAAGAGAAGAAGAAGAAGGAGGAGAUCAAGCUCAAGGAGGCUUGGAGCAUCUCCCUCUUCCUCUCCUCACCAUUGGAGUAGCUCAAAAGGUAAGCAUUUGUACCCUAACUUAUGGAACUUAGGGUUUUAGGUUUUGAGCUUUGGAAAUAAGGUCAAAUGGACCUCUAGCACCCUUGUUGGUGGAUUAGAGCUAGAGCUAGAGUUCCAAAGUGCAAAUAGCAAGAUGUGAACCCUAGGGCUCCAAAUAGGGUUUUUGGUAAAGUAUGAGAUUGAUCUCAUUUGAGGCCUUGUAAAUCUAAUUGCUAGGUGUCUAAACGCGGGGGCGAAGUCGGAAUUUCGAUUCGUCGAGCGGGAGAAAAGCUAUCGGCAAAAUAAGGCCGAUUGAGCACCGUUUUGUACCAAGGAGGCCGAGACCUCGUCGUAACGUUUGGCGAGAGGCAUUUCUAGAACCUCUACGACUAUAAAAGGUGGGGGGUGUCAUCCCGAAGCAACCGAGCCCUUUUCUAUGUCUUAGAAUAAUAUAAUUUUCAUCUGUUGCAUGUUGCAUUGUAGGAUUGCAUUGUAGUACCUUUCCUUAUGCUUUCUAAAUGUUAACCUAGUGUACUUGGAACGCUUGGUGAAAUGGAAAGAUGAGGAUUGGGUCGGAACAUGGAUCCUAUAGUGCUAAAGAAAAGAGAUGGACUCGAUGAUUAUUUAGUGACAUAGAGAGUGGCAUCUAAUGUUUAAUGAACAAAACGAGUGGCAUUAAUGUAGUGUAUUUGACACUAGAAGUCUAUGGACUUAGGGAUAGGUAGAAUCCCUUAGAAAAUGCCUUGUGAACAAUGAAUUUAAUAAAACUAAGUGUUUUGCAGGAUUAUCGGAAUAAAUGAGUUCCGAGAAGUGUUGGCCCUAGUUCGUUGGGUAUCCUCAUGUGGAGAGGAUAGAUCAACUCACGGUCUAUUAUUAGGGAUGGUAAAGCCAUCCAUAUCCUCACAUGGAGAGGAUUGGUCGUUGAGUACUCCGGAGUGUCGGGCGAUAGGGACCACAUGGAGGUCCACAGACAAUCCCGAGUCUGAGAGCACAUGGAGCUCCUUACCCAGAGGGAUAUAGAUGUGAGAUGUAGGCAAACCCCAGGGUUUUGCCACAGAUUGGGUAAAUGAAAAGUUAAUGCUAAUAUUGAACAUUAUUCAUCGAACAUGGAUCGAUCUUGUUAGCAUGAUAGUAAACUUGUACUAUAUGAUGCAUGCAUUCAUAUGCAUGAUUAUGGGCAUAGUAGUAUAGUUUUCCUUCAUGCCUUUACAGUUUUGAUAUAUAGAUAUAUCUAUCUCAUUGUUACUUGUGCCCACUUGGACCUAGUGGAGAAAUCGGCGGAGUCGGCGACCGAGCCCACUAGGAACUAUGGAAGAUAGUUCUCACCCCACUCUAUUUCCAGUGGUAGGUACAGGGUUGCCGAGAGAGGACCGCGGCAAGGGCAUCGCGUCCGAGCAGUGAGACCGUGGUAGUAUAGUGGCUUUCCUUUUUGCAUUAGCACACCUAUGUAUUGAGAGAGAUUCAUGUAGGUGAGGAUUUGGAGAGCUAUGUAUUUUGGAUGAUCAAAUAUAUUCAUUUUGAGAAAAGAUGUAAAUGUAAAUAAAAGCAAACUAUUGUAAUAAUUAGUAAAGUACUCUCUUUAUUUCACUUGUAUAUCUAGUGGAUUACUUGCUCUUGUUGUUGUUGGCACUGUUUGUGGCCCGUUGAUUGUGUACUUAUAGAAUUUAAAAUUCUGGGUAAAUUCUUGUACUCGAUCUGUUGUUGAGCUUUGGGCAGACAGGGGAGGUGCUGUCCGUUCGGCGUCCGUUCGCUGCGCCCGAACCGUGCCAAAUUGGUAGGGGUGCCGGGGUAGGGGCGUGACAGUAAGUAUGCAUGCAACAACUGCUACUAUAGACAGAUGCGUCAACUGGACGUAUAGACCAAAUAUACCCAAUCUGGAACGGCCGUAUUGGUAAGCAACACCUCAGGCUGAAAGCAUAUAACCCCUCUUGGGCUCACGGGUUGACACUAGGAAUCACUUUUUCGGAAAAGAACACCCUCUUGCGGUGGAUCAGACCGCUGGUGUUCGUGAAAUGCGCACGAGCAGUGGCGAUUGAUGCUGAUAUGCUCAAAAGCCAAACAUCGGCAACUAGCCGAUCAUCCAAUCCCUCAGGGUAAACCGACCGUAUAGGUCAUCAAACAGUAAGGAACACAAGUACCGACCACUCAAGUCCACUAGGAUGGAACAACUCAACAUCCUAUCAAAGAUAUGCAAGUAUAAUCUAGAACUAACCGUAAGCCACUAGCCGACAAUCCUACCCCUCAGGGUACACCGACCUCAUAGGUCAUCACUCGACAAGAGUCACGAACUGACUGACUAGGUCACAGACAUGUCAAAUAAUGGAUAUGAGUAAACUAUAAUCAUCCGUCGGCAACUAACCGACAAUCCCACCCCUCAGGGCAUACCGACCUCAAAGGUCAUCGAACGACAGGGGUCAAGGAGCAGACCGAAUAGGUCACAGAUACGAGAUACAAGAACCAACCAACCAGGUCACUAAUAUAAAGUACGAGAACCGACCAACCAGGUCAACGGGUACUGAAUGCAACAACCGACCAACUGGGUCAACAUCUAUCACAAGUAGAUAAAACUAUCUACUUCUACUAAGGAUACUAAUCAUGCAAACAGCGAGUAGAGUAAGAUGUAAACAAUAUGGGUGCAAGGCUCAAUAUACUAUACUACGCAAUAGGAAUAACAGGAGAACAGGGAUAGAAGGAUAUCACCGAGCAUGCACCACUGUAUCGACGUCGGAUCGAAGUACCCACCUGUACAAAUGUCGCGUCUGUCUCCUGACCGCGAAAGAUCGUAAACCGGACCUACGGAGGGUCCACCGGGUUAGUAUCUAACCCACAAAUAUAAAACACUAACACAUAGGCCCACAAUUAUAUCUACGAGAAUCGGUUUCCCAAAAUCGAUUGCCGAACUCACUGGAAGUCCCGAAAAUCGUAUCGGGGCUCCGCCGGGACUCACGAACUAUCCCGGAACUCACCGACUCAAGAUACGAGUCGCCUGCUGCCACUAAACACAUAAUUUCAUGUAACAUGGCGGCAAAGACACUAACUCACACCGAAACGAUUAUCGUUAGAUAAUCGUUCCAAUCCGGGUUCCUAGAAGUGUCCAAUUCGACACCGGAACCCACCAUCGCUCACCCGUCGUUUUCAGACCCUCAAAAUGACACGGGUGGACAGCCAUCAAGGCUCAGCGACGACACAAAUCAUCACAAAGCACCGUCGGAAGAAUUCUGAACUAAAACCGCGUUCCGUCGGCGGAUUUCGCCGAAAAACGCGCUGGAGAUCAACAUUUGAUUUCCAAAAAAGCCUGGGGCCUUGGACAAUCAGCCGAGAGGUCACCUACAAUCCACACACACUACCAACAGCAACCACACUAAGCACAAAUGCAUAAAAACCCUCCCGAUUACAUGAAAUCGCAUUAUUUCAUGCGAUUUCUGGGGUUUUAUGGCCCGACAGCGCGAACUGAGUAUCAUUCAGCCACUCUGAGACACCCGCUGAUAGAUCUCGAUGUGCCGAAGGCCAUGCUCACACUUCGGAGCACUGCUGUCCACUGUAGGAGGUGCGGGAGCGACUCGAAGUUCAGCGAAAACUGCGUGCUGAAACCAAAACGCUUCAAACAAUCUCAUCCGACACUCGCUGACCCUAAAUGAGGUGAGCACUGUGAUCAUCACUGACUGACAAUCACCAUGUUCACCUCCGGAGGCAUCGGAACAGCCUCGGGUCACCGGAACAGGGUAACCAACCCCAAAAAGUGCACAGAUAAGCUAAAUAAAGCUCACCGGAGCUAGGCGGAGCACAACUUGGCCGGCGGCGGCCGGACGGCCGGCGCGCCGGUAGGGGGAGAUUUCUAGCGAUGGAGGAAGGCUGGGGCGCGCGUCAGCCGGCAACGGAAGGCGCCGGAGGCGGUGGGCAUUGAUGCCCUAGCCGCACCAAGCCGAGGAGAGCACGGCCCAGGUCCGGCCAAUGGGGAGCUCCGGCGGCUGGAGCGUCGGUGGCACUCGGGUGCGACCGACCAGGGGAGGCCGGGGUUCCCGCAUUUCGGCGAUGGAAGCCGGCGGCGGCGGCGCUGGCCGAACCCGAGCCCGCACGGGCUUGGCUCAGGCUCUGCGAGUUCCCUCCGGCCAUGGCGGCAGCCGGGGCAACUAGGGAAGGGAGCGGGCCUCCUCUGGAACCGAGAGGAGGAAUCAUGGACCGCGGCCGAGGGCUGGGGGCGCGACGCUGCAAAGCUAGGCCGCACCAACUUGGACUGGCCGCAGGUUUGCAGUCACAGUGCGGCGGCGCACUGGGACGACGACGACUGACUGGAGGAGUCGCCGGACGUCGAGGGAGGGUGGCACGACUGGUUCCAGGAGGCGGCAGCACAUGGGUCUAGCUUGGGUUCGGCCCGUGUAGACCCAUCUCGGCCGCAAAGAGCUAGCGACGGCGGCGGCGGCCUGUGGGGACGGCGGCGGCGGCCUGUGGGGACAGCGGCGGUGCCCGUAGUGGGUUGCCUGAGGUCUAGGCCGCUGCCAAGGGUGUGCCCAAGGGUGAGGACCACCAUGGCUGGUCCACGGCAAAGAUGAAGGGUGGUUAGGUGGAGAAAUAUAGGAAGAGAGGCCACCCAAGCUUUUCCGGCGGCCGGGGGACCUUGCCGGCGGUCGGGGUGCACGCACAGCUAGGGCAUGGUGAUGCUAGUGAUGGCUAGGGUUAGUUGGGGGAGCUAGGUCGGCUGGAUCUAGGGUUUCAUGCAAAGAAACCCUAGUCGCAAACUUAUAUACAAGUGGCAUUUUGCAUAAACAUCCCCCAAAGCUGAAUAUUUUCAUCCGAGUCCCUGCCCACGCGUGUAUUCUGCACGUACGCACCUCCACGUCCGAUCCCGCGCUAUUCGGUACAUAAAAUAUGAUGACUUUUGCGAAGUUUCCGAAUCACCACCUUCGACCUCUUAGCGAAAACUAUGCAAUUACCGUAAAUCCGUCCAUCGUAUUUUUGAUCCGACUGCGCCAUCGCGUUCAGCACGACGGGGGCAUCGAAACUACAAUUUCGUUUCAUCCGAUUUGGUCGCCGAUUUGCGACAGAAUCCGUCCGCUCUCCAACUAAUCCAAAUAUCACACAUAUACCAAUGUGUAAACCCAAUAAACCAAAUUUCGCAUUAGAAUUUAACUUCCCUACCGCUAGUAGGGACCCGAAACAUCCUUCACCCAACUCCAGGUCACAAGCACGGAGUACGAGGAGUUUCACAAUGCAAGAAUAGCAAAGAGCGAAAACUCUCUUUUGAUAAAACUCCUUUUUCUCGAAAACCGUGCAUCAGAUCUGAAAUCUGUUAGGGCCAUUGGUUCCAGAAUAGCUGAACCGAUCGAAACGAGCUAUUGGAUCGCUAUGAAAGGAGUCCGAUACGCGCCGAAAGCCAACUCUACUCCGUGGCUUCUCCGGAAAACCGGAGUUACUAUUCACAUUAAGUGAUUAGUAUUUAUCGCGUAACUUCUUCAUUCUAACUCGUUUUCUCCUGAAACUUGACGAGUGCUCAUGUAAUUAAAUUACACACAAAAACAUCGUCAAUAGAGAGUUUAGCUAAACUGCCAAAAUCUCAGUCCUUACAAACAUAUUAUUUUCUCGAAUGAAAUAACUAAUUGAAUAAACCCGAUCAAUACUCAACUCUAUCUUCAUUUGGAAUAUCUACACUUUUGGUCUUCAAGUUAGUUACUCGUGACAGUAUUGUCCUCAUACUUUAAUGCGUUACUUUUCUUGCUUAAAGUAUACGCAUGUAACGCUUAAGUACCCAAACUUUUAUUAGUCGUAAUUUUCGACUCGAACUAUGAGACUUAUGAUAUUUUAAUUCUCAACUUUUACUGUUGUUAUAAAUAUAAUUUUUCAUUCUUAUAAUUUUUAAUUUGCAUAAAAAAUCCACAAGUUUUGAGCUUUUACAAAACUGGACCACUUUUUUCAAUUUUGUAGAUUCGGAUUGGAUUUUUCGCCAUCGGACGAAAAUACCCUUAUUCCUUUUCUUUCUCUCUCUUCUUUUUUCUCUCUCUUGUUUUUUUCCGUCGUUAUUUUUUCUUCUUCGACAAACCCACCUCCUACGACAACACCCUCCAUCUCCUCCCCCAGAUCCAACCCCCAUUCCCACGGUGCCAAUCUCGAUGACUCCCGCAGCGAUGACGGCAGAGGAGGAGGCCGGGGAUCCCUCUCCGCCGACCACUUCUCUUCUGACCUCAUCUGUGCCGACAUCGACGCUGACCUCGCGGAGAUCGCCGGCGCCCUCCCCAUCAUUGCCGACCACUCUUCUAUAUCUUUUUUGUAGUUGCGAUAGAGUGCAAGCAAGAGGUGGUGAAAAAAAAAUUAUAGAGAAAAAAAAAGAAUAAUAAAAAAUAAAAAAAAUAUUUUUUUCCUAAAAAAAGAAAAAAUAUAGAAAAUAAAACAAGAUGAUAAGAUUGCAUUGUUAAAAUAAGAUUACACUAUUUUAAAAAAAUUUGCACUGUUUUAAUGAAAAUUGCACUAUUUAAUAUAGAAAAUACAUUAUUUUGGAAUGAAUUUUACAUUGUUUAGAUCAAAAUUGCACUAUUUAGAAGAAUUUUGCACCAUUUAUUUCUUUUUCUCUUUCUAUUCUUUUUUUUCUUCUUUUUUCGCCGCUGCCUCCUGCCCGGCCCGAGGCCCGCCUCCUCCGCAUGCCCCUCCCCGACCCCGCCUCACCCGCCUCAUCCGCCUCCGUCCUCCUCGCCCUUGCUCGCUCCGCCGCGCCCCACCGCGCCCUUCGCGUCACAUGCGCUUGCCUAGCCGACGCAUGCCCCGCCCCGACCCCGCCUCACCCGCCUCAUCCGCCUCCGUCCUCCUCGCCCUUGCUCGCUCCGCCGCGCCCCACCGCGCCCUUCGCGUCACAUGCGCUUGCCUAGCCGACCCCGCAAGGCGGGCCUUGGGCCGGGCGGGAGGCGGCGGCGGAAGAAGAAGAAGAAGAGUGUCACGCCCCGGGACACAGCGGAAGCCCGCCCAGUACGUGUCCAGACCCGCCAUACGUCUAAAACAUAUAAGGCGUCUAAUAGAAAACGAUAAAGAGAGCAGUAGAAGAGAGACAUCUAGAAGUAUCAGAGCAAGUACAACUAGAUUCUAUAAUAAGAGAGUAAACAAAAGGCUAAAAAUCCACUAGAAGUAAACCAUAAGUAGUACAUCCGAAAUCCAAAGUACAAAAGCUAAAAGUAAUACAUAGGUGGUCUCUAUACAUGGAUGCAAAACCUCUCUCUCUCACAACAACAAACAAUAAGAAAGAAAACCACCUAAGCAAAAUGUAAAUCCUUGCUAUCUAGCUACGCGACCCCUUUGUCGCGAUCCCGUGCCUCCACCGGUGCUGAAGGCUCUGAAGGAAAACCAUAAAACAGAGGGCGUGAGAACUAUUAAAUAAUAGUUCCUAGUGGGCAAUUACUGACUUCAGUACAAUGCGCCACUAGGCCCGAAAACCAAGCAGGUAUAAGUAAGAAUAAAUAAGCAAUAUGAAUGACAAGUAUUUAAACAUGAAUACUUACUAAACCAUGAUAUCUCUAUUUAGCAUGAAUUUGUAUAAGUAAUAAAGCUACUGUAACAUGAAUGUACAUGAGUAUGACCAACAUAAUAUCCACAAGCUAAAUAGUAAAAUGUCAAUGUUUACUAUUCUAGUCAAUGUCCACUCGGUAUACUAAGUCAUCAAUGUUCCAAUCCUAUAGGACCUACCCGUGGGUAGUCCUACCUGCGCCGUGCCUAAUGGCCCCGUGGUAGUCAACAUCCCCACUCUAGGAAUGAGCCUUCCCCACGGCAUCCUAUUUCGGCGCCCAAUCCCGCAUGGGCGAGUAUAUGUCGCGAUGGCUAUCUCCGGAGUGCCGGCUUAUGGGGAGCGACCCUCACAAGCAUGUGCGAAUAAGCACAAUGACAAGCAAGCGUAAAAGUCCGUCUCAAGUCUCAAGUCAUCAUGUCUAAAACAUGGAAUGUAACCUAUGUCUCAAUGGCCUAUCACUAGGUCAUCGUGUCUAAAACACAGAAUAUAGUCUAUGUAACAAUGGCCUAUCUUUAUGUCUUUAUGUUGAAGCUUCACAGUUUACUAGUUCAAGUGCCCUUUUAUGGCACUUUUGUUCACUUUGUCCAAACAUGAGUUAGGAGUUCAAGAGUACCCAAUUCAGGUUCUAUUCAUCAUAGGAGACAUAAUUCCAACUUGCAAUAUAGAAUACUUUUCACAUGCAUGCCUAAUACACAUAUAGCUCUACUAUAUAGAGUUGAAUUUUCGCGUUACAUAACACAUGCAUUUUAAGUAUUCUAAAAUUCAUAAAAAUCAUAUCUAGCAUGAAUAUGCAUGCAUCUCGAUGAAACGACAAGGGUAGAACACAUAAAGGAUAUUUCUCCCCUAUUUCAUGAAGUCAUACCCACCGAAACUUCUCGAAACCCUUCAUUUGCUCCGACGAAGGUGCCCACUACUUUCCUAGUACUCUAAAGGUCACAAAAGGAGGGAUACACGAACGUUACGAACAAUCAUAUGAUCAAACAUUAAACAACCCAAGCUAAGGUGAAGAAAACUCACCGGAUGCGAAGAAAGCUCUCUUGAUCUCCAAAAGGGAGUUAGAGGCCUUCUAAUCCAACCUAAACGAAGGUUCUAAUCCAAUCAAUAAAGCUCUAAAAGCUUCCAAUCAAAAAGCCCCAAAUAAAGCUCUACGUCGUCGCUCGGCAUAGCUCCCUGUCUACUCUGUGUCGUCAAAAGUCGCUCCCAAGCAAUACGAAUCUUGUCUUCAGCUUCCUGGAGCACAUCAGGGCCUAAAGCCAAUCUCUCGCCAACUUCACUCCAAUGAAGUGGCAAGCUACACUUCCGUCUAUAAAGUGCUUCGAAGGGUGCCAUCUUGAUGCUUGCUUGAUAACUAUUGUUAUAAGCAAACUCCGCUAUUGAUAGAUGCUGCGACCAUCCUCCCUGGAAGUCUAACACACAUGCUUGGAGCAUAUCCUCUAACGUCUGAAUAGGACGCUCCGACUGCCCAUCACUCUGAGGGUGGAAAGCAGUGCUGAAAUCCAAUCGAGUGCCUAAGGCGUCCUGCAGACUCCUCCAAAAGUGAGACACAAAUCGGGUGUCUCUAUCAGAUACAAUCGAGGUAGGCACUCCGUGAAGUCGCACAAUCUCAUCAAGGUACACUUGUGCGAGCUUCUCUCCAGUCCAAGUAGUAUGUAUAGGUAUGAAGUGCGCCGACUUCGUCAACCUAUCCACAAUAACCCAAAUGGCAUCAUGCUCGGCUUGAGAGCGAGGCAAUUCUAUAACAAAAUCUAUAGUGAUCUUCUCCCACUUCCACACGGGAAUCGGUAAACUCUGAAGUUUUCCCGCGGGUAAUCGGUGUUCAGCCUUCACCUGUUGGCAAGUUAGACAUCUAGCAACAAACUCACCAACAUCCUUUUUCAUCCUUGGCCACCAAUAAAGCAACUUUAAGUCCUUAUACAUCUUGGUGCCUCCUGGAUGUAUAGCAUAGGGUGCUCGAUGUGCUUCUUGAAGAAUGUCUUCUCUAAUUCCCGAAUCCGCCGGUACACAUAACCGUCCACGAAAACGCAUCAACUUUUGCUCAUCCACAAGAAAAUUGCCGGUGCAACCAUUGACCAUUUUAUCUCUAAUCUUUUGCAAUUCCAUAUCGAAAACUUGCUUUUCUUUAAUUCUAUCCAAUAAGGUAGGUUGCACCACCAAGGUCAUCAACCUCAAGAGCGUGUCAGGAGUCACAACCUCCAACUCCAACCGCUUCAUCUGCUCGAUCAACUGCGGUUGAGCAACAACAUGCAUCGCUAAGUUUUCCGUCGAUUUCCGACUUAGCGCAUCCGCCACCAUGUUAACCUUGCCUGAGUGGUAAAGAAUCAUCAGAUCAUAAUCCUUGAGCAGCUCCAACCAUCUGCGCUACCUCAAGUUCAGCUCCUUCUAAGUGAAUAGAUACUUCAAGCUCUUGUGAUCUGUGUAUAUUUCACACCGCUCACCAUAAAGAUAGUGGUGCCAUAGCUUUAAUGCAAAGACUACGGCCGCCAACUCCAGAUCAUGCGUAGGAUAGUUCCUUUCAUAAUCCUUCAAUUGGCGAGAAGUAUACACGAUCACCUUGCCAUCCUGCAUCAAAACGCAACCUAAUCUAUUAAAUGAAGCAUCGCUAUAAACCUGUAAGGACUGAGAUUUUUGUAGUGUAGCUAAACUCUCAGUUGACGAUGUUUUUGUGUAUAUUUUAAUUACAAAAGCACUCGUCAAGUUUCGGGAGAAAACGAGUUAAAAUGGAGAUUCUACGUGAUUUUCAAGUUUCACUUAAAGUGAAUAGUAACUCGGUUUUCCGGAGAAGGCACGGUGCGAAGUUGGCUUCUGGCGCAUAUCGUACUCCGUUCAUAGCAGUCCAAUAGCUCAUUUCAAACGGUUUGGUUAUUCUGGAACCGAUGGCGCUGACGGAUUUUGGGUUUGAAGCAUGGAUUUCGAGAAAAUUUGAAAAUACAUAUUCUAUAUGUAAUUAUGUGUCAUUUUGGCCUUUUGGAGAGAAAGCAGAUUUCGUCGCGAAUCCGUGACCGAUCGAGGCGAACCAAAAUCGUAGCUUUGUUGUCUCCGUCGUGCUGAUCGCACUGGUGUGAUCCGUUCGCAAAUCUAACGGACGGAUCUACGGAGAUUGCACGUUGAUCGAGGAGAGGUCGGUGUUGGCAAAACGGUAUUUUCGCAAGAGUUACGACAUUUUAUGUAUCGUUUUGCGUGAAAUCACAUGUGGAGGGGUAUUCACGCGUUUUUUCUCGCGCUGUGAAGGACUCGGAUUAAAUAUCGAGUUUUAGGGGACUUAUGCGCGAUUUGGAGCUUAUAUAUAUUGUGUAUCCUAGGGUUUGCUCAUUGGAAACCCUAACCCUAGCUCGAGCUAACCCCCAGCCACCUUCAUCCCUCUUCCCUGCCCUAGCCGCACGCCUCCAGGCCGCCACCGACCGAGCCCCGGCCGGCCAGCAGCAACUGCAACCUCCUCAGCCACCUUUUUCGCCUCCCUCUCCCUCCAUCUUUCUUUCUCUAGGGUUGCGGAUAGAUCUGAGGCUGCAGUCGCCUCCCUGCACCCUACAAGUGUCACCCCUGUGCCCUGGCAAGCCUCCCUGCCGACCGCCGUCACCUCUGUGCGUCAACGCUUGAGCCGCGGGCCGCCGCCGUCAUCGCCCGCCGCCUCCCUCCUCCUUCUCUGGCAUCUGGGGACCCGCCGCAGUCAUCCCCGACCGGUCCCGGCCAUCAUCUUCGCUCGGAGGAGCCGCUAGACCCGUGCCCUAGCUUGUGCGGGGGUGGCUCUCUCCGCCGACACCGCCGCCGUCGCCGCUCCCAGCCGCCACCCGAGGUGAGCAUCGUGUUCCUCACCUCCCCCGCACCUAUCUCGCGCGUUGCCGUGCCGCCGGAGGCCGGCCGGAGCAAAGCCCGAAAUAGGGCUUAUUUUGGAUGGUUUACUAUUCCGAGCUUCUUGAGACAUCCCUAUCACUGCAGAAGGGAGCACGAUGAUCGUGACUCAUCGCUGAUCAUCGUGCUCACCUUAUUUUUUUGUCGGGAAGGCUUCGUUCCACUGUUUCGGAGGUGUCGGUCUUUUUUGGGCCUUUUUGGCUGCUAUUCCAUGCUUGCGCGCACUUUUCUAGCGAUCCGAGGCUGUCCUGAUGCCUUCGGAGGUGAGCACGGUGAUCGCUGGUCUAUGCUGAUCACAGUGCUCACCUUACUUUGGAUCAGCGGAUGUCGAAUCAGCCUGUUCGGUGCGAUUUUCCCCGACUGUGCGCUGUUCGUAGAAAUUUCAGGCUGCUCCCGCGCUUCCCACAGUGAGCCAUUGUGCUCCGGACUUUGAGCACGGGCUCCGGCACGUCGAGACCUAUCAGUGCGUGUCUCGGCGGACCUCGGGAGUCCUCGGUUUGUGUGAACGAGCCACUUGAUCGCCCGAUUUACAUAAAAUGAUAGGAUUUUAUGUAAAGUGAGGGGCUUUUAUGCAUUUGUGCACCUUGUGGCUACUGUGGGCAGUGUGUUUGCAUGUGCGGUGACCUCUGGACUGAUUGUCCAUGAUCCGAUAGCCUUCGCGGAAAUCGAAGAGUCGAUUUCAGUGCGUUUUUCGGCAAAAUUCGCCGAAAGAACGCGGUUUCGGUUCGAAUUUCUUCCGACGCGGUUUGGUUGUCCUGUGAAUUGUCGCUGAGCUUUGUUGGCUGGUCACCAUCAUCAUUUUGUGGGUUCGGUGAUGAUGGGUCAGCGACGGUAGGUUUCGGUGUCGAAAUAGACACUUCUGAGAAUCCGGAUCCGAACAAUUAUCCGACGAUAAUUGUUGGGUUAUGUUACGUUGUGUUUGCUGCCAGGACAUCCAAAUUGGAGUGUUUUGUGGCAGCGGGUGACUCGUGACACGACUUGGUGAGUUUUCGGGACACUUAGUGGGUCCCGACGGCGUCCCGGUGUGGUUUUCGGGACUUCCGGUGACUUACGGUGAUCGAUUUUGGGAAACCGAUUCGGGGAUCUGUGUGGGGGUUUGUGAGCCUUGUGCUUUGGGUUAGUGGGUUGGAUACUGACCCGGUGGACCUUUGUAGGUCCGGUCGACUUGUGUGCNGUCGUCGCCCGCCACCUCCCUCCUCCUUCUCCGGCAUCUGGGGACCCGCCGCCGUCGUCCCCGACCGGUCCCGGCCAUUAUCGUCGCUGGGAGGAGCCGCUAGACCCGUGCCCUAGCUUGUGCGGGUGUGGCUCUCUCCGCCGACGCCGACGCCGCCGCCGCCGCUCCCAGCCGCUACCCGAGGUGAGCAUCGUGUUCCUCACCUCACCCGCACCUAUCUCUGGCCCGCGCGCGCCUUGCCGUGCCGCCGGAGGCUGGCCGGAGCAAGCUUGGCCGGAGCAAAGCCCGAAAUAGGGCUUAUUUUGGAUGGUUUACUAUUCCGAGCUUCUUGAGACAUCCCGAUCACUGCAGAAGGGAGCACGAUGAUCGUGACUCAUCGUUGAUCAUCGUGCUCACCUUAUUUUUUUGUCGGGAAGGCUUCGUUCCACUGUUUCGGAGGUGUCGGCCUUUUUUGGGCCUUUUUGGCUACUAUUCCGUGCUUGCGCGCACUUUUCUAGCGAUCCGAGGUUGUCCUGAUGCCUUCGGAGGUGAGCACGGUGAUCGCUGGUCUGUGCUAAUCACAGUGCUCACCUUACUUUGGAUCAGCGGAUGUCGAAUCGGCCUGUUCGGUGCGAUUUUCCUCGACUGUGCGCUGUUCGUAGAACUUUCAGGCUGCUCCCGCGCUUCCCACAGUGAGCCAUUGUGAUCCGGACUGUGAGCACGGGCUCCGGCACGUCGAGACCUAUCAGCGCGUGUCUCGGCGGACCUCGGGAGUCCUCGGUUUGCGUGAACGAGCCACUUGAUCGCCCGAUUUACAUAAAAUGAUAGGAUUUUAUGUAAAGUGAGGGGCUUUUAUGCAUUUGUGCACCUUGUGGCUACCGUGGGCAGUGUGUUUGCAUGUGUGGUGACCUUUGGACUGAUUGUCCAUGAUCCGAUAGCCUUCGCGGAAAUCGAAGAGUCGAUUUCAGUGCGUUUUUCGGCGAAAUUCGCCGAAAGAACGCGGUUUCGGUUCGAAUUUCUUCCGAUGCGGUUUGGUUGUCCUGUGAAUUGUCGUUGAGCUUUGUUGGCUGGUCACCAUCAUCAUUUUGUGGGUUCGGUGAUGAUGGGUGAGCGACGGUAGGUUCCGGUGUCGAAAUAGACACUUCUGGGAAUCCGGAUCCGAACAAUUAUUCGACGAUAAUUGUUGGGUUAUGUUACGUUGUGUUUGCUGCCAGGACAUCCAAAUCGGAGUGUUUUGUAGCAGCGGGUGACUCGUGACAUGAGUUGGUGAGUUUUCAGGACACUUAGUGGGUCCCGAUGGCGUCCCGGUGUGGUUUUCGGGACUUCCGGUGACUUACGGUGAUCGAUUUUGGGAAACCGAUUCGGGGAUCUGUGUGGGGGUUUGUGAGUCUUGUGCUUUGGGUUAGUGGGUUGGAUACUGAUCCGGUGAACCUUUGUAGGUCCAGUCGACUUGUGUGCAUCUAGGUUUUCCGACGUGAUUGUGGCAGGUGGGUGCUUCGAGCUGGUAGUCGGUGAGAGCGUUUCACUUUUCCCUAUUUUUUUAUUCCAGUAUUGUAGUCUCUACAUGUCAUUGCUUGGUUAUCAUUAGUAUAUCUCACUUUCUUGGCUGCAUCUAUUAGUUGUUGAUAGACAUGUAGAGCAGGUUGGCAUUUAUAUUUCGGUAUCUCUGUGGACAUUGGAUCCAGGCAACACAUUGACUCCUUUGUCAUGUGUUUCGACCUGGUUGAUCAUGGUUCGGCGUUGUACGCCCUUGUUGUUGGCUUCGGCCUAGGCACCGGCUUCAGCCGGUUUUUGUUUGAGCAUACCGGCAUGACUUAGUCACAACACUUGGGGGGAUUCAUGACACCGGAUCGGUUUGGCCACCGAUCGGAGGUGUACUUAUCCGGAUGGGUCGCCCUGUUGGGCGGAUGGAUCAGGUCGGUGGAGUUAGUGACAUGCAGCGCUUGAGGUCUGCGGACCAAUAUAGCAGGCACAGAUUCGGUACAGUUUCUGGUUGAUUACUUUGAGGCAUAUUUGCAUUGUUUUCUAUACAGUAGUAGUCUUACUUCUUGCUUCUUAUUAGAUCUGUUAUAGCUACUGUAGUUCUGUUUCAUAUCAGCAUACAUAUAUACUUGUCUAUCUAUCUCCUUUGAUUUCCGGUGAUUACGGUUUGCCUUCGUGGCUCUGUCGUACCCACUGGGAAACCAUGGUUGCGGUUUCUCACCCCCCAUUUUCCCAGGUUAUUCGGGCAAGGAGUUGGACUUUGGGCUCGACAAGAGGACGAUCUAGCUAGUCUGGUAUAGCGACCGUCACCCUGGUUAUUUCAUUCCUACUUUUAGUAGUUUAAAUAAAUGGUUCAGUUAGAUAAUCCUCUGAUUGCUUGAAUGUUGUGAACUGGCUUUAGUUGUGGAUGUUUCCGUUAUUUAUGCCUUUGAACAGAGGUUUGUGGAUCUGGAUGUUGGUUUUAUGGAUAUUGGAUUUUCGUGUAUUUACACAUCGUGGUUUUCUACCCCUCGAGGUAGUCGGUUUUCAAAAUAGAGUUACCGAGUGGGAAACAGUUUUAAAAAAAUUUUUUCGACUGUUUUAUGACUGAUUGAAUUAGAGUUUAAAAACAAAGCUUCCGGGUGGGGAGCACUUUUAAAUAGGAUGAUUGUUGUAUUGUGCAUUGCAUCAUCCAGCGCCUAAGGAGUGUUUAGAGACAUGCAUCAUUUCUAAGGAUUGCUAGCUGUAUGGAAAUGCAUGCAUGAUUUGACUGUUGAUUGGUAAAUGUAGGUUGUGGUUGAGAUCCUGUUAAUAUUGUUGGUACGCCGUGCAAAUACAAAGGAGACUCCGUUCGAGUGGACAGAGGAACUUUGUAUUUGU